rnacentral:lncRNA from 1 species
UGACAUGUCAGCAAAAGGCAAAUCGAAGCUGAAAUACUGAAAAUUAGAGCUGUGAAUUAUGGAUUAUUGAUUGGAUGAUGAGGAGGGUUGGAUUGGAAACCUAGAAGGUGGAAGGAUAUGGGAAAAAAAACAUUGAUUUAUAAUGUUGUAAUGGAGAAGCCUGAGAUUAUGUGCCUUCUCUGUUUAAUUACGCAUUAUGCUCAAAGUGCCUGAGUAGUAUGGGUAAGUGUCUUAUUUAUUUGUAUGCACUGAUUUGCACACUCAAUUAUAGGAAACAAAAUACACUUAAAUUCUUGGCUUUUAUUGCUUGUAUUCUUUAGAUAUUCCUACUUCAUAAUGAAGUCACUAGUGCUUUAACAUUGCUUUAUAUAUAUAUAUAUUUUUUAAUUCUUUAUUUAUUUUGAGACAGAAGGACAAAUAUACAAUCAAACAUUUGUACAAUCACAUUCUCAAUAAUCCUUUACAUAACCCCAGCAAAGGCACAGCUAGGGAUAGUUUAACAAUAGUGAUCCUUAAUUGCUACUGCGACCGUGUAUCGAGAAGGAGAGCAUGGAAUCGUAUAAUAGCAGAUAUCCCAUCUCGUUAUUUUGUAAAUAAGGUGAACCGUACACCACAAUACAAACAGUUAUAAGAGCAUAUUAGAAUAUCGUAUGAUCAGCAAGUGCAUCCCGAGUAUAAGUACCGAAUGAUGUUAUUGUACCCACAAGUGAUCGCACAUCGUCUCUAUAUUUCGUUAGCGACCGGAAGUCGUAAAUUUGAAAGUAAGAAUAGAGAUAAAGCAAGAAGUCCCUCAGUUAACAGAGAGGGCACAAAGAGGGAUUAGAGGAAUGGAGGGGUAUGUGGGGCAUAUGGGGGGUGGGAAUCCCUGAGCAUCACCUGCAAGAGGUGGAUACACCGUGGAAUCAUGUUAAGUCGUGCUCCGGGGCAUUCUAGGUCGUUGGCAUCUCCUAGGGCGAUCCCUAAAGUCCCCAGUCAGGAGAUGGCAUGUAUGCAGCUGCUGAUCUUUAACCGAAGUAUAAUGGAUGGUACACAUGGCGGACUGAGCCCAAUCUACCCAUCGAUUAGUCACAUGCUGCACUAGCCAUCCAGGGGCCCCAAAUCUUUUCCAACUUCUUCAUUGUCCCUAGGACCUGUGCUGUUAAUUUGUCCAUAAGGAACAUAUCUUAAAUUUUUUGUAUUACAAUAGAAAUAGUUGGUGUCUCCCUCUGUAGCCAAACCUGUGCCAGAGCUCUUCUAGCAGCCAGGUUCACCCUAUAUAGAAGGCUUUGUUCUGCUUUUGUGCAGUCUUCCACAGAUCGUGCCAACAGGAACAGCCAUGGGUCUAUUGUGACCUCUCUAUUGAAAAAGUCGCGGAGUAACACCGCAAUCCGCUUCCAAUUAGUUUGCACCUCUGGGCACUACCACCACAUGUGGAUAAAGGUACCCUUUUGGCCACAUCCUCUCCAGCACAAGUCAGUUGGAUUUUUAUUCAUGCGGUGCAAUUUCACCGGAGUAGUGUACCAUCGAAAUAAGGUUUUAUAAGAGUGUUUCUGCAAAGAGACACACACCGAGGACGUUGUGCUUUUUAUUUUUUUUUAAACAUAUUGUUCACCUUUAAAUAAUGCACUUACAAAACGAAAACAAAGUAAUGACUCAGUCUUUAUUUCUUGUAUUGAAUUAUUAUUAUCAUAUAUAUAGCGUCAACAUAUAUAUAUGUAUGAAAGGAAAAAAAAGUUAGCUGCGCAGUAGCCCAAAUCCCUAUGCAAUAUAUAUAUAUCAGCAGGAUUGUCAUGUCCCACAAUAAGUAGUCAAACCAUUUUAGCGCGCAUUCCUGCUUCUGGUCUGCUUCAUAAUCAAUUCUACUGCUCUUGAUGUUACCAAUAUUACAUUAACUUUGCUUUAUAUUUUUUAGAAUACAUUGUUCACCUUCAAAUAAUGCACUUACAAAAUGAAAACGUGAUUUCUGAGUCUUUAUUUCUUGUACUGAAUUAUUAUUAUUAUUAUUAUUAUUAUUAUCAUUUAUAUAGAAACAUAGAAUGUGACAGCAGAUAAGAACCAUUCGGCCCAUCUAGUCUGCCCAAUUUUCUAAAUACUUUCAUUAGUCCCUAGUCUUAUCUUAUAGUUAGGAUAGCCUUAUGCCUAUCCCACGCAUGCUUAAACUCCUUUACUGUGUUAACCUCUACCACUUCAGCUGGAAGGCUAUUCCAUGCAUCCACUACCCUCUCAGUAAAGUAAUACUUCCUGAUAUUAUUUUUAAACCUUUGCCCCUCUAAUUUAAGACUAUGUCCUCUUGUUGUGGUAGUUUUUCUUCUUUUAAAUGUGGUCUCCUCCUUUACUGUGUUGAUUCCCUUUAUGUAUUUAAAUGUUUCUAUCAUAUUCCCCCGUCUCGUCUUUCCUCCAAACUAUACAUGUUAAGUUCCUUUAACCUUUCCUUGUGUCAACACAUAUAUAUAUAUAUAUAUCACCUGGAGUGCCACUCCCACAAUAAGUAGUGAAACUGUUUUAGCGCACAGCCCUGCUUCUGGUUGGCUAAUGAGGGAGAAUCCAGUUAGCUCUAUAAAGCAAAGCAUUGCCACAGCAGAGUGCCCUCAGCCAAUAAAUGUGGGUCAGCCAUGCUUUUUUAUAUAGGGACAAUAGUAAUAAUAUUAAUAAUUAUUAUAUCAUAUCAGUUAUUAAUGUCCAAAAUUGUGCUUUGAUGUGACAUGUAGUUUUCUUUCUUUCUUUUCUUUCUUUUUCUCUUUCUUCAGUACAAUAAAAUGUUUUGCCUGUAGGAGAUAUGUAGACACAGACAUAAUGCACCAUAGCUCCAUCCAAAAUGAAACAUAUGCAAAUACAUAAUUUAUUCAAAACACACAUAGAAAUACAAAUGAAUGCAGUGCAAUCACAAGUGCAUAUAGAUCACAAAACAUAACACCUCAGGUCGACUUAACACAAUAUCCCUUACAGGGAGUAAAACAUUUAACUGUUCAUACAGUGAGGACAAGAGGUCUGCUGAGCUAAACCGCAAAUCCCAGGCAGAGUAGCAGACAUUGCAGGCUUGAGAAUAGUGUGAAAUGCGCAAGAGCUCUCUGUGGCUUUGCUCUCUCCCUGUCUUGGAUUGUACUGAAUAAUAAAGAUUUUGAAAAUAAUUAUGUUCCUGUUGCCUGAAGGCUCCACUGACAUUACUGCAGAGGUUUGUCAUUCAUUAUAAAUCUGCUAUUGGUCAUGUUGGGUGUGAAAUGCCACAAUCCGAGGUUCUUGAUCUAGAAAGAUCUGUAACAGAAGUCUUCUUAUACUUGAUUCUGGAAUGAUUGAACACGAGGUUCCUCUUCAGAACCUAAUUACAAUUCAAGCACAACCAAGUGCGCUUUUAUUAAAUUUCUGAAGAAGGUUCUAGUAACUACAAAGGGUAGGACAAUAAUUAUAAACACUUCCUUAUAUGAAGCACUUUCCUUUGAAAAAUAACAAAGACUCACUGUGUUAUUAAAGCAUUCUCUGCACUUUGUAGUCUGUCUUGAGGGCUGUAAUCUGUGGUAUCUUCAAAUUACUAGCUAUUCAAAGAAUUUCAUGAAAAUGCCUCUACACCUUCAGUGUUAUCAUAUGUAGCCAUUCCUUCAAGCCAAAGCUCCAACAAAACACGGCAAGUGAUACAACACGAAUAGCAUUGCUAAAAUGUUUGGGUAGUAAUAAUUUUUAAAUAUGAAGGUCUCAUUUGAUUUUCUAGAGAGACAAUUAUAUUUAUUUGUGGAGUGUUUCAGUGUUUUACUGAAAUUUAUCAAGUUCCCAGGUGUAUCUCAGAGUCUUUCAAAAUACUAAAAACAAAACAUAAUUAAAAAUUUUUGCCACUUCCCAUGUGCACAAUUUGCCGAUUUACAAAUGCUCUUUGAACAUUAUGUUUUUGCACCAGCAUUGGGAGUCCUUCCAUAGUUGGGUAUAUACAUCAUCAAAUGAAGACUGGGAUUCCCCCUACUAGUUUUUGUAGAGUUUAGAGUGCGUUCUAAUACAGUGACUUGUAGCUCCUGGGUCAGGAUCCAAAGCUUGGGUCCCAAUGCUGUUUCAGAACCCCUCAUUGGUUGGAAUAGGAACAUCAUGUUCAUCAAGCACCUGGCAAUUGCUUAUAAUAAAUGGCUGGAAAAAGGAACAAAAUAUACAAAAAUGUUAUAAACAAAAAAGCCUCCAAAGCCUUAAUUUGUGUACCUAGCUACUACUUAUGUGACCAUCUCUCACUCUCUAUAUAAAUAUAUACGUACACAUAAUAUCAAUCUGUAUAAUGUUUUGAUAAGACUAUUUGAUACUUUGUCUGCCACAAAAUAUUCUGAGAACUCCACACGUGUUCAGCAUUUGGGGAGUGGUUGGGUAACUACACAGAGCCUGCCUGGCAGGGAAUGGCAUGCUGUAACCAUGAUUGCCAGCACACGUGGCGCAUCAAAGGUUCCUUUCUAUAGCUUAAUGGUUACAGGAGUUCUGAUUCUGUUUGAACAAUUUGUGGAUGCAUUUAUCUAGAGUCAUUUUAGCUCAAACAGUUGUUGUGACGUUCCCAGGAGCGAUGCUUCAUAACAUAUCCUAACACUGAGAUGUCGGAAACUUGAACAAGCUUUAAAUAUAUUUGAGGCUAAUAAGGGAGUGUUGUGCUGCAAGUAAAACAAUUUGAACUUGUCAAUCAUAGUGAGUGUGAUGAUUAUAUUCUUUAUUUAUCACGCAAUGAAAAUUAUUUUCCUAAAGAAUGGAGAUUAUUUGGUUUUACGUGCAAUUUCACAGUAACUAAAUCACUUACUGUAUCACAGGAUUUGCACAACAUUCCUUUGUGUUUCCCCAACACCCUUCUAUAAAUUUAAGACUGCAGCUUUCCUUUUCAGCCCUAUUCUCGCCGUAACAUGUUGAUUUUUUUUUAUGUUCCCCAUCCCAUACUGCCUUAACUCCCAGCCAUCACCACCUCAUGGUGUGGAAAUAGAAAAAAUAAUUGACAAAAACUUGGGUUUAACUAACACCCAAAGCUCAACCUGUUUUCUACUUCUGAGAUCAUAUGAAUGUUUCAGGAUUUAAAGCAACCAACCCUUUGCCGGUAAUGGUCUGUGAGUUCUGGGCUAAGCCAACUUCAUAUGGAAAAUGCUUUACAUAUAAAUGUUAUAAUAAAUAAAUAAUAAUUAUUUUUUUCCCAUAAUAUUGCUAUAAAAUAAAUUAAUUAAAUUAUUAAAAUGACAUAAUUUUAAAUGUAGCACUUGAAGGGACACUCUACACACCAUACACAGACCUAGAAGAUUCAAUUAUAGUGAAAUUUAGACCACAAUAGCCAUAUUAUUUAGAAAUAUAGUUUUUACUCUUUUAGUUUACUCUAAAUUUUACAAUUAGCUGCCUACACACAAUAAAUCAUGUUUAUAGAAUAACUCCCCAUUUUUUUAAUUAGAAAUGUUUCUUAUAUAAUUAAGUUAUUUGCAACUGUAUAUAAAAUAAAACAGCACUAAGAACAAGUAUAUUUUGAUGAAUAAUAUUAAUAAUAAUAAUACAUAUAAGACUGGGACAGUCACACAUUUUCACAUAAUUUAAGUUAGAAAAGGUAUAAAAUGGGGGUUGUGGCCGGGCUGCCAAGCGAGCAGGACGCAUGCAGAGGGAGCUCCUCAACUAAACCUGCCAUUUAACUCCAUAAAGUGUGCAUUUCUGCAAAUAUUGAAACUGAAAACACUUCAAGAUAUCAGGGGAGAACCUGGGCACCUCCUGGACUGAUCUUAUUGGCCCCACCAAGUGAUUACCAGGCCCUGAAGCUCAUUGCGGCCUGCUGUUGGUUCCGAGGUUGGAGACGCGACCGAUCUCCUGCACUGACGAUGCAUCGACUAUUGCCUGAGCCACGCUUCCCCCCUUUUGAACCAGUGGGGGAUAUCCCGGUCCCCACUGGAAGAGUUACUCACUCUGCAAAAUAGAAACACUCUCGUGCUGAUCUUGAGACCUCGUGGCUGAGCUAAGAUGGCCACUGCACUGUCGCAUCCACAAAGUCCAGAGGGCCUGACAUGGAAGGAAUUGUUUGUGGCCAAAUUCGAUUGACUCUGCCAGGCAUUUUGGCAACGCAUAGCAGACAGAACCUGCACCUCAUCUACUCAUGCUGAGCUGCCAACUCACACCACAGUUCCGUCUCACAGCUCUUCCCCAUCUGGGCUGGGGGCCCUCUUGGACAAAUGUCCAGCCUGUCGUCUACCUGCCCAGAAGGCUCCCAGAAAACCGGAGCACCAGAGACUCCAUGCUCCUAUUGUCAGGUGAAAGGGGACCAUUAGACACAAGGAACCUGUCUCAAACUAGCCUUAUCUUUAGAAACUACUUGUUUAGCUGGUCCUAGGGUGUCACCUAAGAUGUGUAUGCUUGAUAUGAUUAAGUUUGGCCCUUCCUUUACCCCUGACCAGCAGACAAGUCGGCCUAGCUUACCACUCGGACCACACAUGAGAUCUCAACUGUAUACCUCUGUUUAUAAGCCAUUAUUUACUACCCAGUGGUACUACUGUUAAUAGCAUUGUCAGUCAGUACAGCAUGAUUUAUCCUAAUUUCUCCCUUAUAUCACUACUGACUUCCUAUCUGUCAUCUCUUAAGACCACUCAUAUAGUCAAAAAGAAACAAGCAAAAAGGCGCUAAAAAUGUACAAUAUCGUGGUGCAAUAUAUACGUGUAAAAAAGGUAAAAAAGGUAAAGCAGCACCUUACCAGUGAAAAAGCUCUAAAAACAUCCAAUCAACCAAAUACAAGAUAAAAAAGGUGCACUAUACCUGCAAAGUGAAAAAAGUGUCAGUGCAAUGCUCAAUAUGGUGUCAAAAAUACCAUAUACAAUGAUAUUAAAUAAAUGUGCAAAAUCACAAUUGUAUUCUGUGUUAAAACGUACUAACACAACUUACUAAGGAAAUAGGAAUAUCACACUAUUCCUUCCAGGGAUAUGUAGGAAUGUAAUACAUAGAAAGAAAAAGGGAAAAAAUAUAGCAUAAUAUAUAUAUAUUUUCCCUUUUUCUUUCUAUGUACUACGUUCCUACAUAUCCUUGGAAGGAAUAGUGUGACAUUCCUAUUUCCUUAGUAAGUUGUUUUAGGCUCCUACUUGCCGCGGUCGUACUAGGUACGUCAGCGGUCCUUAAGACCAUUUUUUUGUCGGACGCACAUAGUACGUCCACGGUCGUUAAGGUGAUAUACAUAGAUAUAUAUAUAAUUUCAUUCUAAGUGUAUUUUGAAAUAAAUAUAUAUAUAUAUAUUAAUAUCAAAAUACAGUUAAAAUAAAAUUACAUAUAUAUAUAUACAUAUAUAUAUAUAUAAUUUAAAAUUUUUUUUUACAGUUUUUUAUUUAUUUUUCAGUAUUAUUUAUUUUUUAUGAUAUAUAUAUAUAUAUUUAUAUAUACACAAUAUAUAGUUAUUAUAUAUUAUAUAUACGUGUGUAAUUUUACUCUAAGUGUAUUUUUAUAUUACUAUAUAUAUAUAAAUUUAAAAAUACACUUGGUAUAAUGUUAUAUAUAAGAUAUAUAUAUAUAUAUUAUACAGGGAGUGCAGAAUUAUUAGGCAAAUGAGUAUUUUGACCACAUCAUCCUCUUUAUGCAUGUUGUCUUACUCCAAGCUGUAUAGGCUCGAAAGCCUACUACCAAUUAAGCAUAUUAGGUGAUGUGCAUCUCUGUAAUGAGAAGGGGUGUGGUCUAAUGACAUCAACACCCUAUAUCAGGUGUGCAUAAUUAUUAGGCAACUUCCUUUCCUUUGGAAAAAUGGGUCAAAAGAAGGACUUGACAGGCUCAGAAAAGUCAAAAAUAGUGAGAUAUCUUGUAGAGGGAUGCAGCACUCUUAAAAUUGCAAAGCUUCUGAAGCGUGAUCAUCGAACAAUCAAGCGUUUCAUUCAAAAUAGUCAACAGGGUCGCAAGAAGCGUGUGGAAAAACCAAGGCGCAAAAUAACUGCCCAUGAACUGAGAAAAGUCAAGCGUGCAGCUGCCACGAUGCCACUUGCCACCAGUUUGGCCAUAUUUCAGAGCUGCAACAUCACUGGAGUGCCCAAAGCACAAGGUGUGCAAUACUCAGAGACAUGGCCAAGGUAAGAAAGGCUGAAUGACGACCACCACUGAACAAGACACACAAGCUGAAACGUCAAGACUGGGCCAAGAAAUAUCUCAAGACUGAUUUUUCUAAAGUUUUAUGGACUGAUGAAAUGAGAGUGAGUCUUGAUGGGCCAGAUGGAUGGGCCCGUGGCUGGAUUGGUAAAGGGCAGAGAGCUCCAGUCCGACUCAGACGCCAGCAAGGUGGAGGUGGAGUACUGGUUUGGGCUGGUAUCAUCAAAGAUGAGCUUGUGGGGCCUUUUCGGGUUGAGGAUGGAGUCAAGCUCAACUCCCAGUCCUACUGCCAGUUCCUGGAAGACACCUUCUUCAAGCAGUGGUACAGGAAGAAGUCUGCAUCCUUCAAGAAAAACAUGAUUUUCAUGCAGGACAAUGCUCCAUCACACGCGUCCAAGUAAAAUCUAAUGACAUGGCCUCCUUGUUCACCUGAUCUGAACCCCAUUGAGAACCUGUGGUCCAUCAUCAAAUGUGAGAUUUACAAGGAGGGAAAACAGUACACCUCUCUGAACAGUGUCUGGGAGGCUGUGGUUGAUGCUGCACGCAAUGUUGAUGGUGAACAGAUCAAAACACUGACAGAAUCCAUGGAUGGCAGGCUUUUGAGUGUCCUUGCAAAGAAAGGUGGCUAUAUUGGUCACUGAUUUGUUUUUGUUUUGUUUUUGAAUGUCAGAAAUGUAUAUUUGUGAAUGUUGAGAUGUUAUAUUGGUUUCACUGGUAAUAAUAAAUAAUUGAAAUGGGUAUAUAUUUGUUUUUUGUUAAGUUGCCUAAUAAUUAUGCACAGUAAUAGUCACCUGCACACACAGAUAUCCCCCUAACAUAGCUAAAACUAAAAACAAACUAAAAACUACUUCCAAAAAUAUUCAGCUUUGAUAUUAAUGAGUUUUUUGGGUUCAUUGAGAACAUGGUUGUUGUUCAAUAAUAAAAUUAAUCCUCAAAAAUACAACUUGCCUAAUAAUUCUGCACUCCCUGUAUAUAGAUAUAAUAUAUGUAUAUAUAUCUCAUAUAUAUUUCAUAUAUACACACACACACACACACAUAUAUAUGUGUAUAUAUAUAUAUACAUAUAUAUAUAAAAUUUAUUACCAUUUAUUUAUUUAUUACUUUUUUCACCAGCAGGGGGACUGCCUGUCAGUUCAGGCAGUCCCCCUGCUGGCAGCACUGUGGACACCUAUUGCGGCCAUGUGACCGCUCUUUUAGAGGGAGGACUGUCCCCCCUUAAGAAGAAGACCGAUUAUUUAAUUAUUUUUUUAUUUUUAUUUUUUUUAUAUUUACUGAGUGUCUCGACCCCUUGAGGCACUCAGUACAGGCAGAGCAUCGGAAGCCUGCCUGAAGGCUGCUGAUGCUCUGCCUCAGUGCCUGGCUCCAUGUGGAGCAACCCGGAAGUGAUAGCUCCCAUUCUUCUCUGGUGGCCUGGUAGUGAGGGGGGUAUUGCAGCGAUGCCUCGACAUUGAGGCAUCACUGCAAUAUCAUUAGAGCUGCUGGAAGGGAUUAUCAUCGCUUCCAGCGCUCUAAUUCCCCGCGGACGUAUCAGGUAUGUCUUCACUUCUCAUCUGCGAUACUUUCAUAGUUUUUGAGAAACCUUUGAAAAUCGACUAAUACCAUAAAACCAAAGUGUAAGACACACUCACUGAGCACAGUCAGGUGUUUAAUAACUUAUCAUUUGGGUUUUAACACAAUAAAAAGCCUUCAGAUGGUAUAUUUUGGCAUUUGUGAUACAAAGGUUCUUAUAUGGCAAGCUAUAACAUUUUUUAUCCAAUCUUGUCAAACAUUUUUUUUUUUUUUUGCUUACUGGCAUAAUUUAUAACCUGGUUUGUAAGAGUAUAUCCUUCAUUUAUUUAUUUUUCUUCUUUUAUAAAAGAUGGCAUACAAUGAAUGCUUAAAACUAAGAAACCGAUGAGCUCAAGAAACGCGAUGGGAAACUUUGUAAGAGGCAAAAGGCAGAGCUCUGUGCAGUAAAACAGAAUAUAAAUAAUGGCGUUUAUAAAUAAUAAUUACACUGGUAAAAAAAAAUACUGCACAGCCUAUUCUGUAAUUAUAUAGUCUCAAAGGUGCCAAAUCCACCUUUAUGUUAUGUUUUCCUUUUGGUGUUUUUAAAAGAAACUUACAUGCAAUAUUAGCAUGUUUGCGGUGUUGUAAAAAGACUUAAAUACGCACAUUUAAAUUGGAAAUAGAAAGAAAGUGUGAAUUACUAAGCACAGAAACACUGAUGGUGUUUUCUUUUCACAAUUAAUAUUAGUGUUUGAUAUGGAUCACAACUUUAACUGGCAAACAUCACAGGUAGCAGAAAACUAUAAUUUCUUUGGACUGCAUGUUGAGAAACUCAUAAUGAAGCAAUGCAAGCAACGUAUAUUAAUUUGGGGGAAUCUAAUACGUAUAAAAUUAAACUUGUGAAAAUAUUUUUUAUGUGUUAUAAGAGCUAAAAUUGGUUAUGCAAACAGUGUCACACUAUAUAAAAGGAUCUGUCUAGAAGCAAUUUAGCAUUACCUUAAAAUAUGCAAUAAUUCUCUUUCAAGUAGGCAUUUACUCUAGAGUUUAAAUCACUAACUAUAAAUCUUUUCAAUGCACACUGGAUUUACACAUUUUAUAGACAGUGAGUGUACUGCUGAAUGUCAUGCAGUGAUGGGCUUAUGGUAACAUCUUUAAUAUAUUAUAAUAGAAAAUCAUGUCUCAAGUCAAAACAGCUGAAUGUUGUCCCUAAUUAUAAUUCCGAUACACAUUAAUUCAAGACGGAGCUAUCUGGGAACAGUGUAUCCACUUGCUAUGGAAGCAUCAUCCAGAAUUUUUUACUGCAUUACUAAGAAGAAAAGGCUGAGAAAAUGCUGUAUUCUCAUUUGUUGCUAGGGACGUCUCUCAUGUUUAUCAAUCAGACAGCCACUAAAGGCCCGUCCUGGUGCCAUCACCUGAUCUUUUCACAGUAGCCUCUCAGUGCUUCUUUAUAAUGAAGCAUUGGAUUGGCUGACACCAUUAGUAAUGAUGAUCUCUGCUGGGGGAGAAGUGACAGACACUUUAAAUGACACUGACCUUCCAAACUCAGCAACUUUUUCUGGCUUUUGGGGUGUAAAGAGAACUUUGCUUUGGGAGUUAGAGGAAAACUAAAGUGUUAGGAAUACAAACCUGUAUUCCUAAUUCCUAACACUUUAUUGUCCCGGUCCCUAAUAAAGUCCCAAACUGACAUGUGUAAUACAAAUAAAUAAAAUAGAUGAUUAACUUACAUUUUACCAGUGUCAAGGCUCCCUUGGCGCUGCUUGUUUCUCUGCCUCCCACAACUUCACAGAGGAGGCAUUAUCUCCCCCUCCGAUGUCCAAUCCAGUGCUCCUCAUGGAUGCACAAACUUUUCUAUGGGUACCUCCGCGUCACAUGACUGAGUUUUACUUGGUCAGGGCCGUGGUAUCCCCUCUAGUAGCUGUCAGUUUAGCAGGCACUCCAGAAGGAUUUAACCCUGAAAUGUAAAGAUUGCAGUUUCAGAAAAACCUUUAAGAUUUAUCUCCAUACAUAUACAAGCCCACAUGCUUUAUUACACAUACAUUUUAAUAGAUAUAAAGGAACAAUAUAGGAUCAGGAACACAAACAUAUAUUCUUGACCCUAUAGUGUUAAAAUCACCAUUUAGGUGACCUGCCCCUCCUUAGCCCCCUUAGACAGGGGUUAAAACUUACCUUAUUUCCAGCUCCACAGGCGCCUGCCGCACCGGGCCCCGCCCUUGAUUCUCCUCUUUGGCUGACAUCCUCCAUCCCCCACUGCCAAAUUGACUCCAUUAUUUAUAUUCUGUUUUACUGCACAGACCCGCCCCCUCACCCAGCCCAAAUAAUGAAAACAAAAUUAAAAUGAUGGGGAAUGGUGAUGGUGGGGAAUGGGGCUGGUAAGGUGAUAGUGGGGAAUGUUGCUAGUAAGGUAGUGGUGGGGAGUGGGGCUUGUAAGGGGGUGAUUUGGUAUGCGGCUUGUAAGGUGGUGGUGAGGCUAUUAAUGUGGGUGGUAGGUCUUGUAAGGUGGGUAGUUGGACUUGUAAAGUGGUGAUGGGGAAUGGGACUAGUAAUGUGGUGGUGGGGAGUGGGGCUAGUAAUGUGGGGAGUGGGGCUUGUAAGAUAGUGAUGGGGAAUAGGAUUAGUAAGGUGGGGAGUGGUACUUGUACGGUGGAGGCUAGAAAUGUGGGUGGUGGGGGUAGUAAGGUGGGAAGUGGGUCUAGUAAGGUGGGGAGUGGGGCUUGUAAGGUGGAGGCUAGUAAUGUACAUGGUGGGGAUAGUAAGGUGGGGAGUGAGGCUUGUAAGGUAGAGGCUAGUAAUGUGGGGAGUGGGUCUAGUAAGGUAGGGAGUGGGGCUUCUAAGGUAUUGGUAGAGAGUGAGUGGGGCUAUUAAGGUGGUGGGGAUGGGAAAUAGGUCAAGUAAAGUGGGGAGUGGGGCUAGUAAGGUGGUGGUGUGGAGUGGGUCUGGGAAAAUAAACAUAAAUUUGUCAAGUACUCACUUUGUUGAGAAAAUAAUUCAGGGGUGUCUGCUUAGUGUCUGCCAGGACUUCAAUUCUUCUUCAAAGCAUUCACAGUCACACUGUCAGAGCACCGCCUGCAUUCAAGGUCCUUCACUCCAGUUAGAGAUUCUUCCACAGCUUCAGAGAAGACAGUGAAGGCAGGCUCCUCCUCUACGCUCCGUCUUCCUCCACAUCAAGUAGUGCCCUGACUGCAAGAAUUAUAUUCGAGCCUGGCACUUGCUGAAUCGCUCUUUUCAGAACGGCACCCGCACCACUCUCUUUUCAGCGUCGGGUGCCUUCACCGCUGUUGCACUUGUAGAAGUGCUACGCGCAGCUGCAUGAGAAGGCACGGCGGCACCCCUUACGAAUGUGCACCCUAGGCCGGUGCCUACUUCACCUGUAGGUGGCACCGACCCUGUCUCCAGAACAACUACAAUGAGCUGUAGUUGUUCUGGUGACUAUAGUGUCCCUUUAAUGUUUGAUCUAAUUUUAAGAUGGGUUAAUAUCAGAACAAUUUGAAGGUAAACUUUAAAAAGAUACCCAACAUUGCUGAGCAGGUUUUACUGCAUUUUUUAAAUAGACUUCUCCACACUAAUUCAAGAGAUGCCUUUGAUAUCUGUACAUUGGGAUAUGGAUACAACUGUAGCCACUUAAUUAUUCUGAACCCCCAACAUAAAUAUUGGUAGACAAACUCUUACCAAUAAAAAUGCAAAAUGAUUAUUCAACGGAAAAUCCUGUAAACUAAGGUAAUACUUCUCUUCUUUGCUUUUCUUCUGUGUUUUAUUACUAUAUAUAUUUUCCACAUAUUUUGUUAUAUUGCCACCACUUUGCCCAAAAUUUCCACUUUGUCAGUGUUAAUAUUGUUUCCACGCUCCCAUGAAAUGCUGUGCCCUCUUGUUGCACUCCCAUAAAAUGCCAUAUAGCUGUCCCAGUCUACAAUCACAAGUACAGCACAACUGUUAAAGGAGCACUAUAGGGUCAGGAACACAAACAUGUAUUCCUGAACCUAGAGUGUGAAAUCCACAACCUAGCCCUCCCUCCCUACCACCUCCCCUCCUCCCCUCUCCCCCUCCAGGCCCCUUCUGGCCUCUCUAAAUUUAGUAAAAUCUCACUUGUUGCUAGCUUUGCCCCUGUCUGCCCCUGACCUUCCCCUUUCUGCUGACAUCAUCAGAAGUGGUAGUCUGAGCCAAUGCUUCCCUAUAGAAUGCUUCCCUAUAGAAUUGUCAAGGAGGCAGAUCAGAGGCAGAGCCAGCACAAGUCAAACACAGCCCUGGCCAAUCUGCAUCUCCUCAUAGAGAUACAUUGAAUCAAUGCAUCUCUAUGAGGAAAGUUCAGUGUCUGCAUGCAGAGGGUGGAGACACUGAAUUGCAGUGCUUCUUACUCUGCAGCACUGCCCAAGGAAGCCCCUUUAGCAGCCAUCUGAGGAGUGGCCAGGGGUGUUUACUGCAAAAAGCCUGUAGGGAAUAAUUAUACUUACCAGAACAAAUGCAAUAAGCUGUAGUUGUUCUGGUGACUAUAGUGUCCCUUUAAGAUAUCCAUCAGUGUCCUACAUGUAGACAGAUUGCUAUGUGUAUCAAUCACUGCUUUCUAGGUUUUGCAUCUGAUGUACUCAGCUGCUGAGGUGUAAGAACAUAACUUGAUACAAAAUUGGUUUGCAAUCAAUUAAUUUUAUUUACAAAGGUGCCAAUUCAAUACGUUAUACUUAUUAUACGGCAUACCAUUUAGACGUGUAUAUACACGUUAUUGGUAAGGAAGAGGUUAAAGUAUCUAUCACUUUCAGAGAUCUGUGCAUAUUUUUCAAAAUGACCCUGAUUGUGACAUUUUUUGGGGGUAUGCAGUAAGGUGCAGAGGAAUGUAGUUAUAUUUACCUAAAGCUGUCCCUCGUAGCCGCUGCCAUCUUCUUCUCUAAGACCUUCUUCAGCUCCUGGUACUUCAUCUACAAGAAGCCAUGUCACGAUUUUACUCUCACACAUACGCAAAAGUACAACACUGAGGUCUGAAGGGCUUCCAUAGACAAGCAUAGAAACUAGCACAUUUUGCAAUGGAUGUUUUUGUUAGCCAGAAAAAAUAUAAAAAACAAUAGUUUACAGAAUAAUGAAAUAAAAAUAAUAAAAGUAUUGCAAAUAUAUAACAUUUAUGAAUGUGUAACAUAAAUAUAUUCUCCACAUAGUUUACAAUCCUAUCGCACAUAUUCUAUCCAAUUUGUACUCCUUGUCCAUAUAUACACCCUAUCCCAAAUUGUAUGCAAACUCUAUUUAAGUGUCACAAAGAUUAAAUAUUUUGUUUUUCAGUUUAACUCAUGGAUGGCCUUGUGUCUCAGGGCUCUUUUGAUCACUGAAAACAAUCUCACACCUGUGAUAAUUAGAUUGCCAGGUGAGCCCAAUUUAAGGAAAAACUACUAAAGGAGGGUGUUCCACAUUAUUAAGCAGAGCACCAUUUUCAUGCAAUAUAAGGAAGAAAAAGGAUCUCUCUGCUGCCGAAAAGAGUGAAAUAGUUCAAUGCCUUGGACGAGGUAUGAAAACAUUAGAUAUUUGACGAAAACUUAAGCGUGAUCAUCGCACUAUUAAGAGAUUUGUGGCUAAUUCAGAGCACAGAUGGUUUUGUGUAGAUAAAGGCACAUUGAGGAAGAUUUCUGCCAUAUCCAUGCAUCGGAUCAAGAGAGCAGCUGCUAAAAUACCAUUACAUAGCAGCAAACAGAUAUUUGAAGCUGCUGGUGCCUCUGUAGUCCCACGGACAUCAAGGUGUAGAGUCCUCCAGAGUCUUGCAACUGUGCAUAAACCUUCUAUUCGGCCACCACUAACCAAUGCUCACAAGCAGAAACGGCUGCAUUGGGCAGAAAAAUACAUGAAGACUAAUUUUCAAACAGUCCUGUUCACUGAUGAGUUCCCUGGAUGGUCCAGAUGGAUGGAGUAGUGGAUGGUUGGUGGACGGCCACCCUGUUCCAACAAGGCUGCGACGUCAGCAAGGUGGUGGUGGUGGAGUCAUGUUUUGGGCCGGAUUCAUGGGAAGAGAGCUGGUCAGCCCCUUUAGGGUCCCCGAAGGUGUAAAGAUGACCUCUGCAAAGUAUGUGGAGUUUCUGACUGACCACUUUCUUCCCUGGUACAGAAGGAAGAACUAUGCUUUCCAUAAUAAAAUCAUCUUCAUGCAUGACAAUGCACCAUCUCAUGCUGCAAAGAAUAUAUCUGCACCAAUGGCUGCUAUGACGAUAAAAGGAGAGAAAGUCAUGGUGUAGCCUCCAUCCUCUCCUGACCUCAAUCCUAUUGAGAACCUUUGGAGCAUCCUCAAGCAAAAGAUCUUUGAGGGUGGGAGGCAGUUUACAUCCAAACAGCAGCUCUGGGAGGCUAUCCUGACAUCUUGCAAAGAAAUUCAAGCAGAAACUGUCCAAAAACUCACAAGUUCAAUGGAUGCAAGACUUGUGAAGCUGCUAUCAAAUAAGGGGUCCUAUGUUAAAAUGUAACGUGACCUGUUAAAAUGUUUAAAAAGUUAAAAUGUUGUUAUAAGUUUAAUUGAAAUAGCUUUUGAUUUCAGUAAAUAUGCUGCAAACACAACAAAUGACAAUUUUCAGUUCUUUACAACCUAUAAAGUGUUUUGAAACUUACUGUGCGUAAUAAUUUGGAACAGUGCAUUGUAAGUUUUUUAUGUUUAAAAAAAAUACUGUUAUCAUUAGGAGGUUUGUUCAAUAAAAUUUGAAUUGUACUCUUAAUAGUUGAUAACAUGAGAAUUAUGCUGACUGUUAUUUACAUCAAUUAUUUAGGUAAAUGAGAAAACUAUAAUUUGCAUAAUAACUUGGAACAGGGUGUAAAUAUAAUAGUCCCAUGUAUAUUGUGUAUUGCCACAUUACCAUGAUACUGCCCAUACCAUAUUACCCUCACACACACACUGUCAGAUACAAACAGUCCCUGUGUAUGUCUAACAGUAUGUAUCUGGCUGUGUGUGUAUUUUAAUGAGUGUGUCUGGCAGUGUGCAUUAGGACCCUUGCAUGUCCGUGUCUGGCAUUGUGUAUCUGUGUAUAUGUCUAAGUGUAUGUGUCUAGCCGUGACUAUCCUUGUAUGCAUGUGUUUUUCUGUGUCUGUCUGUGACUGUACAUCUGUGUGUAUAUGUAUCUGUGUUUGUCUAAUCUUGAAUACCUGUGUGUGUGUAUAUGUAUUACUAUGCAGCGUUGUAUCUAUUGUGAGGCUAAUAAGGCAUUUGCCCUGGGCAGCACUUUUCAGGGGGCCCCCAAAGACUUCUGUAACUUUAACAAAUGCCUUGUUACUUUUGUGUAAUAGGGGGCUUAAUAACUGGCCGGAUGGCCACCUUAGGGCCCCUCUGAGGUAGGCAGCUGUGCUGUCAUCUUCCUGCUCUUCCUUCAAAAAGAUGACCGUAUCACAGCAGCCACACUGGACCACAGAAAAAUGACCCCCACUGGACCCCAGGGACAGAAUCCACUCCAACUCAACCAAAGGUAUAGAAGCUGGGUAGACUUAAAAUAAAAAAAUAAUAAUUUGUGUGUUUAUGAAAAAAUGUAUGUGUGUUUCUGUCACUGAAUAUGUGUGUGAAUGUGAGUGUGUCAGUGAGUGAAUGUAUAUCAUUGUGUGAGUGUGUGUCUGCCAAUGUGUGUGUGUCAGUGAAUUGUGUUUCUGUCAGUUAACAUGUGUGUCAGUGAGUUUGUGUGACAGUGAGUGUGUGUCUGUGAGUGUGUAACAUAAGCGAGAGUGUGUGUCUGUCAGAGUGUGUCAAAUCAGUGAGGGUCUAUAUGCCAGUAUGUGUCUGUCAGUGAGCAUUUGUCAGUGUAUGUUUAUCUAAGAGUGUGUGCCUGUCGUUGAAAAUGUUUGUUGGUUAAACAGUCUGUGUUACAAUGACUGUGUGUCUGUCGGUGAGUGUAUGUUUGUGUAUGUGUAUCAGUAAGGGCGUGUGUCUGUCAGUCAAAGUGUGUGUUGGUCUUAAACAGGUGUGGCCUUGAUAGGAAUGGAUAGGGCAAAUUUAGAUUGGGGGCUGUCUGAGUUUAGUCAUGUCUCUGGCAGCACAAAGCCAAAAAUGAUGUGUUGAGUGCGUUGCGUUUAUGGAGAGGCUGCGUGUUUUGUGUGCAGGUAGACGUGACUGUAUUUUUUGAGGGUGACUGUGUGUGUGUAUAAAAUAGAGUGUUUUUGUUGGGGUUUCGGCGUGGGUGAGUGUAUGUGUUUAGAGUGAAUGUGUGUGUAUGAGGGCAACUCUUUGCAGGGGCAAUAUGGGGAUCGGCAACUGAUCCCUGGUUCAGUGGGCUGAGCUGUCCUGUACCUUCUGUGGAUGCAGACCACUGUUAAUACUCCUUUUGGUCUGUGUCCCUUGGCUUUGGGAGUGAGUACAAGUUUGGUCAGUUAAAUCCAUAGAUUUCCCCACUAGCCCAUGCAGUUGCAGGGGACACCCGCUCUGGUAGAUCUGGCUUUGCUGCCUGGAACCACAAAGUACACCGAUUGAAAAUGAAAGUUAUUUACAACAAAAAGUUUCACUUGGAAUUUCCAAAAUCGGUUAUAUACUAUUCUAUGUUAUGGGAAUAUCCCUUCAAAGUUAUGUACACACAAUUUAUGGAGUGAAGCAGUUAAAACCAAUAACAAUAAAGAUAAUGAAAUAAAAAAGUUCUAAAAAAAAAAAAAGAGGUGUUACUUGCUCACAUCCCAAUUAAACAUUCUUCACCUGCUUUUUAGUAAGUAUAGUCUUAUUUCAGUGAAACAUUCACACAUCAUAGUGAGGGACUUUUUACAAGCUACUCAAGAAGUCUGCCUUUACCCAAUCCGAAACUGAUUAAAAAUCAGACCACAGGUGGAGUAUCUGUCAUGGCCUAAUAUGUUUGCCUGUUUUAUAAAGUUAAUUCUGUUCUGACAUUUUAAGUGUUCAGUGAAGAGUAAUGGAAAAUGAAAAUAGACUAAUUACUAAAAUAACUUGACAUACUUUGUAUGCACUGCAGUAUUUAUUUAUAUUCACAGCAACAUCCUAUGCAGUACUCAGAUUUUAAUGGGCAGCAUGAGAGAAGCUAUCGUUUGCAUAUGGUAAGGAUGGUAAGGAACCAUUUUAUACAAAGAAAAAAAUAUAUACACACACUUAAAAAAGGGCACUCUCAGGUUUUGUAAAUGGUGAAUUUAUUUAAACAACAAUAAAAAAUUGUGUUACAUUCCAAUAAUAGACGUUUCAACUAUAGAAAUAUGCAAAUCUGUCUGUCUGUCUAUCUGUCUGUCUGUCUAUCUAUCUAUCUAUCUGUCUGUCUAACUAGCCGUCUAUUCGUGUGCCAUCCAUCUGUCUCUCUGUCUGUCUGUCUAUCUAUCUAUCUGUCUGUCUAUGUAGCUGUCUGUCUAUCUAGCCGUCUAUUCGUCUGCCAUCCAUCUGUCUCUCUGUCUGUCUAUCUAUCUACCUGUCUGUUUUUAUAUAUUUGUAUUUCUAUCUAGAUACACAUAUUACAUAGAUACACAUAUCACAUGUUACAGGUCUGACCAGCAUAUAUACAGAGGCCAAUAAUGUGGACAUCUUCUUCUUCUCUGUGUCUCCUUUUGGUUUAUUGCCAAAUGCCGACCUGGUUGAUUUUGACUAUAUUGGGUUUGAUAACUUAAAGGACCACUAUAGUGCCAGGAAAACAUACUCGUUUUCCUGGCACUAAAGUGCCCUGAGGGUGCCCCCAUCCUCAGGGUCCCCCUCCCGCCUGGCUCUGGAAAGAGGAAAAGGGUUAAAACUUACCUUUUUCCAGCGCUGGGAGGGGAGCUCUCCUCCUCUGAUCCUCCUCCGAUCCGCCCCGUCGGCUGAAUGCACAAAAGCUGUGCGCGCAUUCAGCCGGUCGCAUAGGAAAGCAUUCAUAAUGCUUUCCUAUGGACGCUUGCGUGCUCUCACUGUGAUUUUCACAGUGAGAAUCAUGCAAGCGCCUCUAGCGGCUGUCAAUGAGACAGCCGCUAGAGGCUUUGGGGGAAGGCUUAACCCAUUGAUAAACAUAGCAGUUUCUCUGAAACUGCUAUGUUUAUAAAAUAAUGGGUUAACCCUAGAAGGACCUGGCACCCAGACCACUUCAUUAAGCUGAAGUGGUCUGGGUGCCUAGAGUGGUCCUUUAAGCUUGACUGUCUUGGUUUUCUGCUUUUUUCCCCAUUACUCCAAGUCCAUUGUCACUUUUGUCAGCUUGGGCUUUUUUUUUUUAUCUGUGGCACUGAAAGGGUUAUUUUAGUGUGUCCCUAGCUUCCAUUUUGUAUCUCUAGAGUGGUUGUCUGUUUAAUUUAGAUGUACAUUACUGUUUUUAGAGGCAGUAGGAUCACAGACCUGUUCAAACGUUCCGAAGGACAGCUGGAAGAGGUAAGUUUGAAUCAGUAUUUAUGUGCUAAGUGCCUGAAUAGCAAAAAAAAGGAGACUUGGAAUAAGCAGAUCAGUAUAUUUCUAUGGUUCCUUAUUGUUAUUUUCCUGUUUAGCUUUAGUGUUUGCAAAUGGUUGGUCACUGGACAGUGAGUAUGUUGUCCAAACCACCGUCUACAUUUUUUUCCAUACCAGAGCAUAGAAUCACGUCCAUGGAUGCCUAAAAAGGCAUAAAUUGCUUCUCAAGUGGCAGCUGUCUUUACAGUCGUGUAAAAGUUUCCAUGCUAUUUCGCACAGUGGUUUGAAGACCAAUUUGAUUAUUGGUUGGGUGUGUGCAGAGGAUUCAUAACCUUAAAUGGAAUGCUAUGUACAGGCUUUAACAGAUGAGUGGAAUUUACAUUCAAUUGACAACUUAAUUAUUGUAAUAACAGUAUUUAAGUAAUAUUUCAAACAAAUGGAAGCCCCUUUCUGUCUUCACCCAGCAAUUUUCUAACUACUUACCAAAUAUUCACAGUUUUACAUCUGGUGCAAAAGCAGUGUAAGAUUUAUAAAGAUAGUAGUAGUAUUAAAAUAAUUAUUUAUUUCUUAGAUAGACUGCUGUUUUUUUUUGUGUUCGAGUUAUGGAGUGCUAGCAGACAGGAGGUUUUGAUAAAUAUCUACUUAUUUUACAAUGUAUCUAUAUAAAUGUUUUCUAGGUGAUCAAUUAUAGAUUUGCAACUUACUGACUAUGGGAAUACAGUGCAAUUUCUUAACUCGGAUUCCAUGUUCUCUCGUCAAUCAUACAUAAUAUUUCAGCGAACAAUUGUAGUGUACAGCUGUGCAAAUUACAUCGUCUGAUCUCAGAAAUUUAGAUUUGGAUUUUUCAGUUAACAUUAUAGGAUUGUAAUACAUGUAAUCAGAUAUAAAGCCAGCACAAUGCAUUUGAGGGCGGCAGUAAGCCCAUGCAUUUAAUUCGGUCACUUGUUCCUUUUGUACAUGCUACUUCCAACUUUCAAAACACCCUGGUAUAUCUGUUUUAAAAUAGGGAUAUUAAAUUAAUAAGUAUGUUACAAGCCACUGUGAAUUGCGAGAAAUAAAUUCUUCUUUUGUGUUUUUGCUCCUAAUUAUCUCUAAAAAAGAUCUUUAAAUACAUUUUAUACAAAACAAGCCACAAAUCUAAAGAAAAGUGAAAGUUACUCACAGAGGGAAAUUCAGUCGAAAAACUAAUAGCCAAGGCCAACAGAAAAAAAAAAAAACUGUGCUAAAGUAACAGGCCCAAGGAGGUAAAACCAAACUGGGUCAAAACAUUUAAAAAAAAACUGCAUUUCCAAGAUUUGGGCUAGAUUGGACUACAGAAGUAAGAGGACCUGCACUUUACAGUGAGAUAGGUUGUCGAGGUCAUCAACCUGCAUAAUCGAGUAUCAUAUAGAAGCAUGCACACAAGUUAAUUAAAGGAUCACUAUAAUGCCAGGAAAACAAACUCGUUUUCCUGGCACUAUGUAGUCCUUAGGUCCCCCCCACCCUCAUGGCCCCUCUCCUGCUGGUUAAAAACCCUUCAGCCACUUACCUUUCUCCAGUGCCGGGCUCCCUCGGAACUGGGGAACUCUCCUCCUCCUGCCGACGUCAGCGUCGAACGCGCAUGCAGGGCAAGAGACGCGCGCACAUUCAAACCACCCAUAGGAAAGCAUUACUCAAUGCUUUCCUAUGGACAUCAGCGUCUUCUCACUGUGAUUUUCACAGUGAGAAUCGCAGAAGCGGCCUCUAGUGGCUGUCGGUGAGACAGCCACUAGAGGCUUAGUUAACCCUCAGUGAAACAUAGCAGUUUCUCUGAAACUAUGUUUUCAGUUGCAGCGUUAAAACUAGAGGGACCUGGCACCCAGACCACUUCAUUGAGCUGAAGUGGUCUGGGUGCCUAUAGUGAUCCUUUAAGUCUGAACUACUGAAAAACUAUUGCUGGAUGUUUGCUCUAGAGCAUAUAUCCGAUUUACAAAUCACUAAAUAAAUCUUUAAGGGUUAUAACUCCCUUUCAUCUUCCCUACCCUUCCUCUCUUACCCUAAACUAUAGAAUCACAUGAGAAAUGUUUCUCAUUUCUUUUUUUUUUUCUUUUGGAUUAAAAAAGUUAAUUGUUAACCACAUAAGGAAAAAAAAAAAAACGAUAUAAUGAAGUAAUUGUAUUGUUACUAUAAACUAAUUUAUUUUUGUUGUUUUGUUUGUACUCUUUUUGUACAUUUGAUGUAUGUAUCUCCAUAUACAAUUUGUCUUAUAUGUAUUCAAUAUAAAAGUAUUGCAUAAAUGAAAGUAAAAAAAUAUUUGAAAAGAAGCACGCACGCAUGCAUGCAGACUCAUAGAAGAUGCAUCAAAGCAGGGGGUAAGAGAAACACUAUGUUGGACCCCCCUUGGGUGGCUUAGUCUUGGCAUUUUAUUCCUUGGUUGCAAUUCUUUAAUAUUCUUCUACAUCUCAUCUAGUGUGAUUUACAUUAUUUUUGCAAAAGCUGGAUUUGUACAUAAAUAUAAUAAUCAAAAUAAUGUUAUGGUGGCACUUACAACGAAUUCAUUUUUAUUUAUUGUAAAGCUUGGAAAAAAAUCUUUUUGGUUUUUAUUUAAUUUUUAAAUUGUUAAGUAGAAAGACUUGAAUCUAAUUGACAAUGUUUCCUAUUUUCAUGAAAUACUUGUGCCUUUCACUGUUCUUUCCCAACCAUGUCAAACAUAGCACUUUUAGAAGGCCUCACGCAGUACAGUACAAAGGUUCUGUGAGAAAAUUAUCUGGUCGCUUUUCUAAUUGCUGAGUAAAGCCUCUUGUAAAUGCUUUAGACAUAGAUGCACCUCUAACUGAAUGACAUCUGAACUGAGAGGUGUCAAUUCCUGCUGUUUUCAUAGCCAGGAGAAUCCCGUCUCUAAUUGUAUUUACUUUGGCUGCGAGAAAAGGUUUACUCAAUGUAAUAAAUAGCUAAGUAAUAUGACUUCUAAACUGAGAUGGAAUUCUAAUUUAUUUGGAUAGAACACAGACUAGACAUAAGUAACACAGAGUAAUGGAAGCCCUAAACCUCUUUUGAAGUAAUACUUUGAAGUAUUUGAAAACAGUUCACACCAAACUAGUACAAAACUCAAAAUUAAGGUGAGCAGUUGCACUUAAAGGACCACUCCCCACACAUAAAGCACUUUAGCUAGCUGGAGUAUCCCAUAAUAAUGACAGUUUAUAAAAGUAUUGAUUUCUAUUAGAAAUCAGCUCUGUUAUAAUUAAUUAAGGAACUCCCCUCUCCCCCCCCCCAGGUUGUCAAUCANNNNNNNNNNNNNNNNNNNNNNNNNNNNNNNNNNNNNNNNNNNNNNNNNNNNNNNNNNNNNNNNNNNNNNNNNNNNNNNNNNNNNNNNNNNNNNNNNNNNGCGGCUUGUAAGGUGGUGGUGAGGCUAUUAAUGUGGGUGGUAGGUCUUGUAAGGUGGGUAGUUGGACUUGUAAAGUGGUGAUGGGGAAUGGGACUAGUAAUGUGGUGGUGGGGAGUGGGGCUAGUAAUGUGGGGAGUGGGGCUUGUAAGAUAGUGAUGGGGAAUAGGAUUAGUAAGGUGGGGAGUGGUACUUGUACGGUGGAGGCUAGAAAUGUGGGUGGUGGGGGUAGUAAGGUGGGAAGUGGGUCUAGUAAGGUGGGGAGUGGGGCUUGUAAGGUGGAGGCUAGUAAUGUACAUGGUGGGGAUAGUAAGGUGGGGAGUGAGGCUUGUAAGGUAGAGGCUAGUAAUGUGGGGAGUGGGUCUAGUAAGGUAGGGAGUGGGGCUUCUAAGGUAUUGGUAGAGAGUGAGUGGGGCUAUUAAGGUGGUGGGGAUGGGAAAUAGGUCAAGUAAAGUGGGGAGUGGGGCUAGUAAGGUGGUGGUGUGGAGUGGGUCUGGGAAAAUAAACAUAAAUUUGUCAAGUACUCACUUUGUUGAGAAAAUAAUUCAGGGGUGUCUGCUUAGUGUCUGCCAGGACUUCAAUUCUUCUUCAAAGCAUUCACAGUCACACUGUCAGAGCACCGCCUGCAUUCAAGGUCCUUCACUCCAGUUAGAGAUUCUUCCACAGCUUCAGAGAAGACAGUGAAGGCAGGCUCCUCCUCUACGCUCCGUCUUCCUCCACAUCAAGUAGUGCCCUGACUGCAAGAAUUAUAUUCGAGCCUGGCACUUGCUGAAUCGCUCUUUUCAGAACGGCACCCGCACCACUCUCUUUUCAGCGUCGGGUGCCUUCACCGCUGUUGCACUUGUAGAAGUGCUACGCGCAGCUGCAUGAGAAGGCACGGCGGCACCCCUUACGAAUGUGCACCCUAGGCCGGUGCCUACUUCACCUGUAGGUGGCACCGACCCUGUCUCCAGAACAACUACAAUGAGCUGUAGUUGUUCUGGUGACUAUAGUGUCCCUUUAAUGUUUGAUCUAAUUUUAAGAUGGGUUAAUAUCAGAACAAUUUGAAGGUAAACUUUAAAAAGAUACCCAACAUUGCUGAGCAGGUUUUACUGCAUUUUUUAAAUAGACUUCUCCACACUAAUUCAAGAGAUGCCUUUGAUAUCUGUACAUUGGGAUAUGGAUACAACUGUAGCCACUUAAUUAUUCUGAACCCCCAACAUAAAUAUUGGUAGACAAACUCUUACCAAUAAAAAUGCAAAAUGAUUAUUCAACGGAAAAUCCUGUAAACUAAGGUAAUACUUCUCUUCUUUGCUUUUCUUCUGUGUUUUAUUACUAUAUAUAUUUUCCACAUAUUUUGUUAUAUUGCCACCACUUUGCCCAAAAUUUCCACUUUGUCAGUGUUAAUAUUGUUUCCACGCUCCCAUGAAAUGCUGUGCCCUCUUGUUGCACUCCCAUAAAAUGCCAUAUAGCUGUCCCAGUCUACAAUCACAAGUACAGCACAACUGUUAAAGGAGCACUAUAGGGUCAGGAACACAAACAUGUAUUCCUGAACCUAGAGUGUGAAAUCCACAACCUAGCCCUCCCUCCCUACCACCUCCCCUCCUCCCCUCUCCCCCUCCAGGCCCCUUCUGGCCUCUCUAAAUUUAGUAAAAUCUCACUUGUUGCUAGCUUUGCCCCUGUCUGCCCCUGACCUUCCCCUUUCUGCUGACAUCAUCAGAAGUGGUAGUCUGAGUCAAUGCUUCCCUAUAGAAUGCUUCCCUAUAGAAUUGUCAAGGAGGCAGAUCAGAGGCAGAGCCAGCACAAGUCAAACACAGCCCUGGCCAAUCUGCAUCUCCUCAUAGAGAUACAUUGAAUCAAUGCAUCUCUAUGAGGAAAGUUCAGUGUCUGCAUGCAGAGGGUGGAGACACUGAAUUGCAGUGCUUCUUACUCUGCAGCACUGCCCAAGGAAGCCCCUUUAGCAGCCAUCUGAGGAGUGGCCAGGGGUGUUUACUGCAAAAAGCCUGUAGGGAAUAAUUAUACUUACCAGAACAAAUGCAAUAAGCUGUAGUUGUUCUGGUGACUAUAGUGUCCCUUUAAGAUAUCCAUCAGUGUCCUACAUGUAGACAGAUUGCUAUGUGUAUCAAUCACUGCUUUCUAGGUUUUGCAUCUGAUGUACUCAGCUGCUGAGGUGUAAGAACAUAACUUGAUACAAAAUUGGUUUGCAAUCAAUUAAUUUUAUUUACAAAGGUGCCAAUUCAAUACGUUAUACUUAUUAUACGGCAUACCAUUUAGACGUGUAUAUACACGUUAUUGGUAAGGAAGAGGUUAAAGUAUCUAUCACUUUCAGAGAUCUGUGCAUAUUUUUCAAAAUGACCCUGAUUGUGACAUUUUUUGGGGGUAUGCAGUAAGGUGCAGAGGAAUGUAGUUAUAUUUACCUAAAGCUGUCCCUCGUAGCCGCUGCCAUCUUCUUCUCUAAGACCUUCUUCAGCUCCUGGUACUUCAUCUACAAGAAGCCAUGUCACGAUUUUACUCUCACACAUACGCAAAAGUACAACACUGAGGUCUGAAGGGCUUCCAUAGACAAGCAUAGAAACUAGCACAUUUUGCAAUGGAUGUUUUUGUUAGCCAGAAAAAAUAUAAAAAACAAUAGUUUACAGAAUAAUGAAAUAAAAAUAAUAAAAGUAUUGCAAAUAUAUAACAUUUAUGAAUGUGUAACAUAAAUAUAUUCUCCACAUAGUUUACAAUCCUAUCGCACAUAUUCUAUCCAAUUUGUACUCCUUGUCCAUAUAUACACCCUAUCCCAAAUUGUAUGCAAACUCUAUUUAAGUGUCACAAAGAUUAAAUAUUUUGUUUUUCAGUUUAACUCAUGGAUGGCCUUGUGUCUCAGGGCUCUUUUGAUCACUGAAAACAAUCUCACACCUGUGAUAAUUAGAUUGCCAGGUGAGCCCAAUUUAAGGAAAAACUACUAAAGGAGGGUGUUCCACAUUAUUAAGCAGAGCACCAUUUUCAUGCAAUAUAAGGAAGAAAAAGGAUCUCUCUGCUGCCGAAAAGAGUGAAAUAGUUCAAUGCCUUGGACGAGGUAUGAAAACAUUAGAUAUUUGACGAAAACUUAAGCGUGAUCAUCGCACUAUUAAGAGAUUUGUGGCUAAUUCAGAGCACAGAUGGUUUUGUGUAGAUAAAGGCACAUUGAGGAAGAUUUCUGCCAUAUCCAUGCAUCGGAUCAAGAGAGCAGCUGCUAAAAUACCAUUACAUAGCAGCAAACAGAUAUUUGAAGCUGCUGGUGCCUCUGUAGUCCCACGGACAUCAAGGUGUAGAGUCCUCCAGAGUCUUGCAACUGUGCAUAAACCUUCUAUUCGGCCACCACUAACCAAUGCUCACAAGCAGAAACGGCUGCAUUGGGCAGAAAAAUACAUGAAGACUAAUUUUCAAACAGUCCUGUUCACUGAUGAGUUCCCUGGAUGGUCCAGAUGGAUGGAGUAGUGGAUGGUUGGUGGACGGCCACCCUGUUCCAACAAGGCUGCGACGUCAGCAAGGUGGUGGUGGUGGAGUCAUGUUUUGGGCCGGAUUCAUGGGAAGAGAGCUGGUCAGCCCCUUUAGGGUCCCCGAAGGUGUAAAGAUGACCUCUGCAAAGUAUGUGGAGUUUCUGACUGACCACUUUCUUCCCUGGUACAGAAGGAAGAACUAUGCUUUCCAUAAUAAAAUCAUCUUCAUGCAUGACAAUGCACCAUCUCAUGCUGCAAAGAAUAUAUCUGCACCAAUGGCUGCUAUGACGAUAAAAGGAGAGAAAGUCAUGGUGUAGCCUCCAUCCUCUCCUGACCUCAAUCCUAUUGAGAACCUUUGGAGCAUCCUCAAGCAAAAGAUCUUUGAGGGUGGGAGGCAGUUUACAUCCAAACAGCAGCUCUGGGAGGCUAUCCUGACAUCUUGCAAAGAAAUUCAAGCAGAAACUGUCCAAAAACUCACAAGUUCAAUGGAUGCAAGACUUGUGAAGCUGCUAUCAAAUAAGGGGUCCUAUGUUAAAAUGUAACGUGACCUGUUAAAAUGUUUAAAAAGUUAAAAUGUUGUUAUAAGUUUAAUUGAAAUAGCUUUUGAUUUCAGUAAAUAUGCUGCAAACACAACAAAUGACAAUUUUCAGUUCUUUACAACCUAUAAAGUGUUUUGAAACUUACUGUGCGUAAUAAUUUGGAACAGUGCAUUGUAAGUUUUUUAUGUUUAAAAAAUACUGUUAUCAUUAGGAGGUUUGUUCAAUAAAAUUUGAAUUGUACUCUUAAUAGUUGAUAACAUGAGAAUUAUGCUGACUGUUAUUUACAUCAAUUAUUUAGGUAAAUGAGAAAACUAUAAUUUGCAUAAUAACUUGGAACAGGGUGUAAAUAUAAUAGUCCCAUGUAUAUUGUGUAUUGCCACAUUACCAUGAUACUGCCCAUACCAUAUUACCCUCACACACACACUGUCAGAUACAAACAGUCCCUGUGUAUGUCUAACAGUAUGUAUCUGGCUGUGUGUGUAUUUUAAUGAGUGUGUCUGGCAGUGUGCAUUAGGACCCUUGCAUGUCCGUGUCUGGCAUUGUGUAUCUGUGUAUAUGUCUAAGUGUAUGUGUCUAGCCGUGACUAUCCUUGUAUGCAUGUGUUUUUCUGUGUCUGUCUGUGACUGUACAUCUGUGUGUAUAUGUAUCUGUGUUUGUCUAAUCUUGAAUACCUGUGUGUGUGUAUAUGUAUUACUAUGCAGCGUUGUAUCUAUUGUGAGGCUAAUAAGGCAUUUGCCCUGGGCAGCACUUUUCAGGGGGCCCCCAAAGACUUCUGUAACUUUAACAAAUGCCUUGUUACUUUUGUGUAAUAGGGGGCUUAAUAACUGGCCGGAUGGCCACCUUAGGGCCCCUCUGAGGUAGGCAGCUGUGCUGUCAUCUUCCUGCUCUUCCUUCAAAAAGAUGACCGUAUCACAGCAGCCACACUGGACCACAGAAAAAUGACCCCCACUGGACCCCAGGGACAGAAUCCACUCCAACUCAACCAAAGGUAUAGAAGCUGGGUAGACUUAAAAUAAAAAAAUAAUAAUUUGUGUGUUUAUGAAAAAAUGUAUGUGUGUUUCUGUCACUGAAUAUGUGUGUGAAUGUGAGUGUGUCAGUGAGUGAAUGUAUAUCAUUGUGUGAGUGUGUGUCUGCCAAUGUGUGUGUGUCAGUGAAUUGUGUUUCUGUCAGUUAACAUGUGUGUCAGUGAGUUUGUGUGACAGUGAGUGUGUGUCUGUGAGUGUGUAACAUAAGCGAGAGUGUGUGUCUGUCAGAGUGUGUCAAAUCAGUGAGGGUCUAUAUGCCAGUAUGUGUCUGUCAGUGAGCAUUUGUCAGUGUAUGUUUAUCUAAGAGUGUGUGCCUGUCGUUGAAAAUGUUUGUUGGUUAAACAGUCUGUGUUACAAUGACUGUGUGUCUGUCGGUGAGUGUAUGUUUGUGUAUGUGUAUCAGUAAGGGCGUGUGUCUGUCAGUCAAAGUGUGUGUUGGUCUUAAACAGGUGUGGCCUUGAUAGGAAUGGAUAGGGCAAAUUUAGAUUGGGGGCUGUCUGAGUUUAGUCAUGUCUCUGGCAGCACAAAGCCAAAAAUGAUGUGUUGAGUGCGUUGCGUUUAUGGAGAGGCUGCGUGUUUUGUGUGCAGGUAGACGUGACUGUAUUUUUUUUUUUUUCCAAUUUGAAUUUUAUUGACUUUUUCGAGUAUGCAAACUUGGGGGGGGGAUACAGAAAGGAAGGGGGGGGGGAAGACAGGUUAUCAGCAUUCGUGUUUAAGCAGUUGUACAGGUAGACAGUUAUACCGUUAUACCAAUAUACCAUUAUGCAUUUGUACAUUCAUACAGUUAUACAAAUAUUCAGUUAUACGAUUAUCCACUUUUACGUGGGUUCCCAGGUAUAUGUAUAUCUCCCCGCUAAUCACCAUUCUCUUGUAGGUGGUUGUACGGUUAUACAGUUACACUCUUAUAUCAUUAUAUCAUUAGAUUGUUGUAUAUGGGCUCCUAGGUUUAUUUACAUUUCCCCGUUAUGUGGUUGACCAAGGUUGUCCCUGGCGUAUCUCCCACUACCUGUUGCGUAAUGUAAGCUGAGGCAUUUGCUUGUACACCUAGUGGAUGCUGGUGACGUCACCUUUUGUGGGCCUUGAUGAGUGGUUUGCUUUCUGCCCACUAGUGUGGUUAUAGCUUAUCUCCAGCUUCCCGCCCUCAUACCUCGGAUGUUAUGCUAGCCUUCCAAGUCUUGUGUGCCUCAAGUAUAUGAGUGCGUUUCCCAAAUUGUGCUGCUGUCAUAAGUUCGUACUCCCAGUUUUGUUCUACCUGUUUUAUCACAUCCUGGAUAGUGGGGGUUGUUGUUUUUUUCCAUAACCUGGAUAUCGUCUGAUUUGCUGAUAUGAGGGUGUGAUAGAGAAUCGUCCUAAUGUGCUUCGGGAUGCUCUUGGGCAACAUAAACAGGAUGCAUGUUUGUGGGUUAUCUAACCUGGGUGUCGGAUAUAUUUUUUGUAAAUGUUGGGUCACUUCCUUCCAGAAUGAGCUAAGUGCGGCGCAGGACCACCAGAUAUGUAGCAUGGUCCCCACCUCACUCCCACAUCUCCAGCAUAUGUUGGUAGUGUUUGGCCACAUCUUUUGGAGUUUGUCUGGUACUAAGUACCAGCGGUACAAUAGUUUGCGUUGUAGUUCUAGGUGUGUGUGGCAUGCUGUGAGUCCCUGAUGCGCCAGAUAUGCCCGGUCCCAGGUGUCUUCUGGAAACGUCUGGCCCAACUCUUGGUGCCACGCCAGUUUGAUCUUAUCUAGUGUUUGUGUUCGUGUUGCUAUUAGCUCCUGGUAUCCCCAUGAUAGGGUUUUCCCCAGUGUCUUUUUGCCCACACAGUGUUUUUCAAGUCUCGUCAUGUUCAGUUCAUCGUCCCAUUUAUCUUCGGCGUCUAGCUUACUUGAAACGUAGGACUUUAGCUGCAUGUAAGAGAAUAUGACCUUAUUGGGCAGUGUGUAUUCCUCCUGAAUUGCCGGUAGUGCUUUCAGUCGCCCCCUGUCUAUCACCUGAUAUAUAUGGUGUAUCCCCCCUUUCACCCAUGUCUCCCACGGGAAAGUUGGGAUGUCCAGCCCUACUGUUUGGAUUGGUGUGGCCAUAGGAAGCUUUUGUUGUGCCACCAUUUUAUCUCUUAUUUUGUGCCAUAUUUGUAGAAGGGUCUGGGUACUGGGCAGGAGUUUGUCCCUGGUGUGCUUAGGGCAGUUUCCUUGCCAUAUCAGUGCUCGUAGGUCCCUUUUGGGUGCCCAUUGCGCCUCUAUGGCUACCCAUUGUGGAGCCUUGACAGUGAGGUUUAUUUGUGUAAUGUUAUGGAGGUAUGCUGCUCUAUAGUAAGCCGUUAAGUUCGGGAGGCCCAGCCCCCCCCUGCGGACUGUCUGCUGUAGCGUCCCUGCUGCCACUCUUGCUUUUUUCCCCUCCCAAAUGAAGGCACUGAUGGUGUGCUGCAUAUUUUUGAGGUAUUGCUUUGGUAGGGGUAUCUGUAGUGUACGGAACAGGUAUUGGAUUUUUGGUAUUAGUGACAUUUUGACUGCUGCUAUGCGUCCUGUCCAUGACAGGUAUUUUCCCUUCCAUGCUUGCAUGGAAUCUGUGAACUCUUUGUGCAUGCGUACAUAGUUGUGGUGGAAUAAUUUAUCAGGGUUUUUUGUAAGUUUGAGGCCCAGAAAGGUUAGGUAAUCGUUUCUCCAGUCUAAGGGGAAUGCCUCUCUCAGUCUGGACGUGAGGUUUGUGCCUAGAUGCAUCCCCAAUGCUUGUGUCUUGGUGACAUUCAAUUUGUAAUAUGAUACUUCACCAUAUGAUUCUAUGUGUAGCAUCAAGUUUGGCAGGGAGAUUAGGGGCUGUGUGAGCGUUACUAGGAUGUCAUCUGCAAAUAGAUUGAGCUUGUACUCCCUGUCUCCUAUUGUGAUGCCCUGUAUGGAUGGUUCCGCCCUUAUCGCCGCUGCAAGGGGCUCCAGUGCCAGGAUAUAUAAUAGUGGGGACAGGGGGCACCCCUGCCUGGACCCAUUCGUUAUGUUGAUUUGUUUGGACACAAAUCCUGCAUUGAGUACCCUUGCUGUGGGGUGGGAGUAUAGUGCUUUUACCCCAUUUAUAAAUGAUCUAGGGAACUUGUACUUUUGGAGCACUGCUUCUAGAAAAGGCCAAUUAAGGCGAUCAAAGGCCUUUUCUGCGUCCAAUGAGAGUAAAACACCCUCCGUCCGAUAUCGUCUUAGGCUGUGUAUGAGGUCGAUCACUUUCCUCGUGUUGUCUGAUCCCUGUCUACCUGUGGUAAAGCCCACCUGGUCAUCAUGUAUCAGUGUAGGGAUGAUGUGUUUUAGCCUAUUUGCCUGUAUUUUAGCGUAGAUUUUUGUGUCUGUGUUUAGUAGGGAUAUUGGCCGGAAGUUUUGACUACAUGUGGGUGGUUUGCCUGGUUUUGGAAGUGUUAUAAUGUGAGCUCCUAGCAUGUCUGCCGGGGCUUCUGCCUUUCGGGUGAUGGCAUUAAAGGUGUUUGUUAGGUGUGGUGCUAGAGUGGCAGCAAAUCGUUUAUAGUACGCGUUGGUAAACCCAUCGGGUCCUGGUGCUUUCCCCUUGGGGAGGCUCGCUAUUACCUGUAGCACUUCUUCCUCUGUGAUAGGGGCUUGUAGGCCCUCCCUUUGGUCCUCAGUAAGGCCCGGUAGUGAUAUACCCUCCAGGUAUUGUUCUAUUCGUGUUUGUGACGGUUGGGGGGUGUUUGGGUCCCGACCCAGGUUGUACAGGGUCGUAUAGUAGUCGGCGAACACGUCGCUGAUGUCUUUGGGUGUAACCCUUUUUUCCCCUUUAGAGUUCAGUAUGAAUGGGAUUUUUGUUUGUGCGUUCCUUUGCGACAGUCUCCUCGCUAAGAGUUUGCUGGCUCUAUUUCCCUGGGUGUAGUGGGCUGCCUGUAGCUUCCGCAUUGUGAACCCCAUUUUUACUAGGUCAUGUUUUUUGCCUUCGUCUAUUACUUGUUUAAUUUGUUCUAGGAGCUGUGGGGUUGGUGUGAGUUGGUUCUGUUUGGUUAGAUUGUAGAGGGUAGUCAGCCAUUCUUUUCUUUUUGUUUGGGUUGCCCUUUUUAUUGCACUUGCUUUCCCUAUAAGGAGUCCCCUUACAACUGGUUUGUGGGCCUGCCACAGUGUUUCUGGUGAUAUGUCUGGAGUUGUGUUGGUGUCAAAGUAGUUGGAGAGGUCGUCUUUAACUGUGUCGCUGUAUUGUCGGUCUGUCAGUAGAGAUUCAUUUAGUCUCCACGGGCUUCGAUGCUUGUAGUCAUAUGCGUCGCAUAGCACUAAGGUUAUUGGGGCAUGGUCUGACCACGUUAUGGUACCUAUCGUGCAGGACAUGAUGUGGUUGAGGUGGGCACCUUUUAUAUAGUACCCGUCAAUACGCGAGUAAGUGUUAUGUACCUGAGAGAGGAAGGUGUAGUCCCUCUCCCCAGGGUGUUGCAAUCUCCAUGCAUCGUAGUAAUCGUGUUCUUUGAGCAAGCGUACUAGUGGUUUGCAUUCCCUCUGGAGGGUAGCUGAUCUGGGAGUGUUUAGCUGUACUGUGGUAUCCCAUUUGGGGUCCAGUAUGUGAUUGAAAUCCCCACAUAAUAUAGUAAUGCCCCUCUGGACCGAUUGCACUAGUGUGAUGACUUUAUGUAAGAAAUUCCUCUGGUGUGUGUUGGGUGCAUAUAGGUUGACUAUUGUGUAUUCUAAAUUGUUGAUUUCGCAUAUCAUGAUAAUAUAUCGCCCUUCUUUGUCUAUGGAUAUGUAUAACGGUUUGAAGGACACAUCCUUGCUGAUGAGGAUGGAUACCCCUUUCGUUUUGGAUGUGGAGGUGCUAUGGAAUUGAGCUGUGUAUUGCGCCUGGGCUAGGAUUAUUGAUUUUUUGAGGUGUGUUUCCUGCAGGCACACUAUAUCGGGGCAUUCCCUGCGCAGAUCUCUUAUGAGGCAAUAUCGUUUUACUGGGGUGUUUAACCCUUUUACAUUAUGACAGUGUAUCUUCAUAUUUUAUUGAGUGGUGUUGAAGUAUCUUGCUUUUGACUUGGGGGGUCAGUGUCUGGUGUGCUACUCCUCCCUGGGUCCUAUGGUCUCCAACUCGGAUAUAUGCUACGUGGUCUCCAACCUGUCUGGUGGUGGGGGGAAGGGUGGGGUGGUGAUCAAGGGUGGAUGCAGUCAUGCUAACCUUAUGCAAGACCUUUGGGGUAAACAGUGCAACAUAAAACAAAACAUACAAUAUCACAGUAUUACAAUUGAACAUUUCCCACUGAAGGGUAGGGCACCCAUUAUGUGGUGCCAUUGGGGUGCGUGGUGAACUCUGAUGAGUGAUGUGUGCGGUGUAGCUAGGUGAGCAUGCCAUGCCCGUUACACGCUAUCUUUUUGCCUGCGUGUGUUUUGCGGCUAAAUGGUGAAAGGUGAGAUGGGUAUGAGUUCUAGCGUGUCUGGGGUGUAGCUUCUGGACAGGCCUGUAUUUAGGUCUGGGCUCCUAUCAAGUUGUUGUGAGUGGGUUGUUUUUUUUUUUUCUAUUUAGUGUGCUAGGCACUGACAUGUGCCAGGUUAAUGGUGUGGCUGUGUGAGUUAGAUAUCGAGUGAUAGGGUUUGAGUGUGCGUGUCAUGUGUGUCUGGUAUACUUGCGGCCCAUUGUCCGACUGCUCCCUCUGGAGUCUCUGUUAAGUCCCAUCUCUUGCUUGGAAUCCCUUUGUGGGAUCAUUUUUUGGCCCUCUUCCACUCCGGAGACAGUCUGCGCUGAUCUGCAGCCUUUGCCCCUGCCUGGGUUGAUUGAAUGCCCCAGCUGCGCAGUAGUUUGUGGCCUUCCUCUGGCGUGUUGAUCGUUGUCAGUGUGCCAUUCCUCCUGAUCAGCAGGCGGACCGGGUAUCCCCACCUGUACUGGACGCCAUUGUUGCGCAGGGCCUCUGUGGUCGUUUUGAAUUCUUUCCUUUUCUGUAGUGUUGCCGCUGACAGAUCCGUGAAGAUUUUUAUGUGAGUGAAUUUUUGUGGCAGAUCCCUUUGCCCUCUCGUGGCCUGGAGAAUUGCCUCUUUUACGUGGAAGUAGUGGAGGUGGGUUAGCACGUCCCUUGGUGUGUCUUGCGGCAGGAACGCCGGCUUUUGGACCCUGUGGUACCUGUCCAGGAUCAGCAUCUCCGCUGGUAGCUCGGGGGUCAGUGCUUUGAAAUACUCUAUGAGGAAGGGGUGCAGAUCUUGUUGAGACACCUCCUCCGGUAUGCCUCUAAUUCGCAGAUUUUGUCUUCGUGAGCGGUCUUCCAGAUCCAUGAUUUUCCUUUGGGACUGGUUCAGUAACUGCUGCAGGUUGUGCACUUGGUCUGCCAGCUCGUUAUGAACAGAUGUCUGCUCCUCCACGCGCUGUUCCACCCGUGCGGUCCUGUCCCCCAGCUCCUGCACGUCUUUGCUGAGUUCCCUCAGAGUGCUUUGGAUGGACGCCAGGAUUUUGCUGGACAUAUCCUCCAAGCAUGUCUGCAGAAAGUCUUGCGUGACUGGCAGGUUGUGGAAGCCCGUGGGCGUCCUUAGCGGCAGUGUGUCGUUCCCGCCGUCGCCAUCUUGGGCCUGGUCCAGCAGGCCUGUAGCUUUCGGCGUCGAGGCUCGGGCCGCGAAGAACUCCGACCUGUCGGUUUUUUCUGCUUGUUUCUUGUGCUUUGGGUGGGACAUCGUUAGGUGAGUCGGGGGUCCCGGUUUUUCCCGCAGGCAGUGCUGUUUUUUGUCGCUUUUAGGGCUAGCUGGGAGCGGAGCUCAAUCCCGUGCGUCCAUCCGCGUUGCCCGCUAAGCCACGCCCCCAGGUGUGACUGUAUUUUUUGAGGGUGACUGUGUGUGUGUAUAAAAUAGAGUGUUUUUGUUGGGGUUUCGGCGUGGGUGAGUGUAUGUGUUUAGAGUGAAUGUGUGUGUAUGAGGGCAACUCUUUGCAGGGGCAAUAUGGGGAUCGGCAACUGAUCCCUGGUUCAGUGGGCUGAGCUGUCCUGUACCUUCUGUGGAUGCAGACCACUGUUAAUACUCCUUUUGGUCUGUGUCCCUUGGCUUUGGGAGUGAGUACAAGUUUGGUCAGUUAAAUCCAUAGAUUUCCCCACUAGCCCAUGCAGUUGCAGGGGACACCCGCUCUGGUAGAUCUGGCUUUGCUGCCUGGAACCACAAAGUACACCGAUUGAAAAUGAAAGUUAUUUACAACAAAAAGUUUCACUUGGAAUUUCCAAAAUCGGUUAUAUACUAUUCUAUGUUAUGGGAAUAUCCCUUCAAAGUUAUGUACACACAAUUUAUGGAGUGAAGCAGUUAAAACCAAUAACAAUAAAGAUAAUGAAAUAAAAAAGUUCUAAAAAAAAAAAAAGAGGUGUUACUUGCUCACAUCCCAAUUAAACAUUCUUCACCUGCUUUUUAGUAAGUAUAGUCUUAUUUCAGUGAAACAUUCACACAUCAUAGUGAGGGACUUUUUACAAGCUACUCAAGAAGUCUGCCUUUACCCAAUCCGAAACUGAUUAAAAAUCAGACCACAGGUGGAGUAUCUGUCAUGGCCUAAUAUGUUUGCCUGUUUUAUAAAGUUAAUUCUGUUCUGACAUUUUAAGUGUUCAGUGAAGAGUAAUGGAAAAUGAAAAUAGACUAAUUACUAAAAUAACUUGACAUACUUUGUAUGCACUGCAGUAUUUAUUUAUAUUCACAGCAACAUCCUAUGCAGUACUCAGAUUUUAAUGGGCAGCAUGAGAGAAGCUAUCGUUUGCAUAUGGUAAGGAUGGUAAGGAACCAUUUUAUACAAAGAAAAAAAUAUAUACACACACUUAAAAAAGGGCACUCUCAGGUUUUGUAAAUGGUGAAUUUAUUUAAACAACAAUAAAAAAUUGUGUUACAUUCCAAUAAUAGACGUUUCAACUAUAGAAAUAUGCAAAUCUGUCUGUCUGUCUAUCUGUCUGUCUGUCUAUCUAUCUAUCUAUCUGUCUGUCUAACUAGCCGUCUAUUCGUGUGCCAUCCAUCUGUCUCUCUGUCUGUCUGUCUAUCUAUCUAUCUGUCUGUCUAUGUAGCUGUCUGUCUAUCUAGCCGUCUAUUCGUCUGCCAUCCAUCUGUCUCUCUGUCUGUCUAUCUAUCUACCUGUCUGUUUUUAUAUAUUUGUAUUUCUAUCUAGAUACACAUAUUACAUAGAUACACAUAUCACAUGUUACAGGUCUGACCAGCAUAUAUACAGAGGCCAAUAAUGUGGACAUCUUCUUCUUCUCUGUGUCUCCUUUUGGUUUAUUGCCAAAUGCCGACCUGGUUGAUUUUGACUAUAUUGGGUUUGAUAACUUAAAGGACCACUAUAGUGCCAGGAAAACAUACUCGUUUUCCUGGCACUAAAGUGCCCUGAGGGUGCCCCCAUCCUCAGGGUCCCCCUCCCGCCUGGCUCUGGAAAGAGGAAAAGGGUUAAAACUUACCUUUUUCCAGCGCUGGGAGGGGAGCUCUCCUCCUCUGAUCCUCCUCCGAUCCGCCCCGUCGGCUGAAUGCACAAAAGCUGUGCGCGCAUUCAGCCGGUCGCAUAGGAAAGCAUUCAUAAUGCUUUCCUAUGGACGCUUGCGUGCUCUCACUGUGAUUUUCACAGUGAGAAUCAUGCAAGCGCCUCUAGCGGCUGUCAAUGAGACAGCCGCUAGAGGCUUUGGGGGAAGGCUUAACCCAUUGAUAAACAUAGCAGUUUCUCUGAAACUGCUAUGUUUAUAAAAUAAUGGGUUAACCCUAGAAGGACCUGGCACCCAGACCACUUCAUUAAGCUGAAGUGGUCUGGGUGCCUAGAGUGGUCCUUUAAGCUUGACUGUCUUGGUUUUCUGCUUUUUUCCCCAUUACUCCAAGUCCAUUGUCACUUUUGUCAGCUUGGGCUUUUUUUUUUUAUCUGUGGCACUGAAAGGGUUAUUUUAGUGUGUCCCUAGCUUCCAUUUUGUAUCUCUAGAGUGGUUGUCUGUUUAAUUUAGAUGUACAUUACUGUUUUUAGAGGCAGUAGGAUCACAGACCUGUUCAAACGUUCCGAAGGACAGCUGGAAGAGGUAAGUUUGAAUCAGUAUUUAUGUGCUAAGUGCCUGAAUAGCAAAAAAAAGGAGACUUGGAAUAAGCAGAUCAGUAUAUUUCUAUGGUUCCUUAUUGUUAUUUUCCUGUUUAGCUUUAGUGUUUGCAAAUGGUUGGUCACUGGACAGUGAGUAUGUUGUCCAAACCACCGUCUACAUUUUUUUCCAUACCAGAGCAUAGAAUCACGUCCAUGGAUGCCUAAAAAGGCAUAAAUUGCUUCUCAAGUGGCAGCUGUCUUUACAGUCGUGUAAAAGUUUCCAUGCUAUUUCGCACAGUGGUUUGAAGACCAAUUUGAUUAUUGGUUGGGUGUGUGCAGAGGAUUCAUAACCUUAAAUGGAAUGCUAUGUACAGGCUUUAACAGAUGAGUGGAAUUUACAUUCAAUUGACAACUUAAUUAUUGUAAUAACAGUAUUUAAGUAAUAUUUCAAACAAAUGGAAGCCCCUUUCUGUCUUCACCCAGCAAUUUUCUAACUACUUACCAAAUAUUCACAGUUUUACAUCUGGUGCAAAAGCAGUGUAAGAUUUAUAAAGAUAGUAGUAGUAUUAAAAUAAUUAUUUAUUUCUUAGAUAGACUGCUGUUUUUUUUUGUGUUCGAGUUAUGGAGUGCUAGCAGACAGGAGGUUUUGAUAAAUAUCUACUUAUUUUACAAUGUAUCUAUAUAAAUGUUUUCUAGGUGAUCAAUUAUAGAUUUGCAACUUACUGACUAUGGGAAUACAGUGCAAUUUCUUAACUCGGAUUCCAUGUUCUCUCGUCAAUCAUACAUAAUAUUUCAGCGAACAAUUGUAGUGUACAGCUGUGCAAAUUACAUCGUCUGAUCUCAGAAAUUUAGAUUUGGAUUUUUCAGUUAACAUUAUAGGAUUGUAAUACAUGUAAUCAGAUAUAAAGCCAGCACAAUGCAUUUGAGGGCGGCAGUAAGCCCAUGCAUUUAAUUCGGUCACUUGUUCCUUUUGUACAUGCUACUUCCAACUUUCAAAACACCCUGGUAUAUCUGUUUUAAAAUAGGGAUAUUAAAUUAAUAAGUAUGUUACAAGCCACUGUGAAUUGCGAGAAAUAAAUUCUUCUUUUGUGUUUUUGCUCCUAAUUAUCUCUAAAAAAGAUCUUUAAAUACAUUUUAUACAAAACAAGCCACAAAUCUAAAGAAAAGUGAAAGUUACUCACAGAGGGAAAUUCAGUCGAAAAACUAAUAGCCAAGGCCAACAGAAAAAAAAAAAAACUGUGCUAAAGUAACAGGCCCAAGGAGGUAAAACCAAACUGGGUCAAAACAUUUAAAAAAAAACUGCAUUUCCAAGAUUUGGGCUAGAUUGGACUACAGAAGUAAGAGGACCUGCACUUUACAGUGAGAUAGGUUGUCGAGGUCAUCAACCUGCAUAAUCGAGUAUCAUAUAGAAGCAUGCACACAAGUUAAUUAAAGGAUCACUAUAAUGCCAGGAAAACAAACUCGUUUUCCUGGCACUAUGUAGUCCUUAGGUCCCCCCCACCCUCAUGGCCCCUCUCCUGCUGGUUAAAAACCCUUCAGCCACUUACCUUUCUCCAGUGCCGGGCUCCCUCGGAACUGGGGAACUCUCCUCCUCCUGCCGACGUCAGCGUCGAACGCGCAUGCAGGGCAAGAGACGCGCGCACAUUCAAACCACCCAUAGGAAAGCAUUACUCAAUGCUUUCCUAUGGACAUCAGCGUCUUCUCACUGUGAUUUUCACAGUGAGAAUCGCAGAAGCGGCCUCUAGUGGCUGUCGGUGAGACAGCCACUAGAGGCUUAGUUAACCCUCAGUGAAACAUAGCAGUUUCUCUGAAACUAUGUUUUCAGUUGCAGCGUUAAAACUAGAGGGACCUGGCACCCAGACCACUUCAUUGAGCUGAAGUGGUCUGGGUGCCUAUAGUGAUCCUUUAAGUCUGAACUACUGAAAAACUAUUGCUGGAUGUUUGCUCUAGAGCAUAUAUCCGAUUUACAAAUCACUAAAUAAAUCUUUAAGGGUUAUAACUCCCUUUCAUCUUCCCUACCCUUCCUCUCUUACCCUAAACUAUAGAAUCACAUGAGAAAUGUUUCUCAUUUCUUUUUUUUUUUCUUUUGGAUUAAAAAAGUUAAUUGUUAACCACAUAAGGAAAAAAAAAAAAACGAUAUAAUGAAGUAAUUGUAUUGUUACUAUAAACUAAUUUAUUUUUGUUGUUUUGUUUGUACUCUUUUUGUACAUUUGAUGUAUGUAUCUCCAUAUACAAUUUGUCUUAUAUGUAUUCAAUAUAAAAGUAUUGCAUAAAUGAAAGUAAAAAAAUAUUUGAAAAGAAGCACGCACGCAUGCAUGCAGACUCAUAGAAGAUGCAUCAAAGCAGGGGGUAAGAGAAACACUAUGUUGGACCCCCCUUGGGUGGCUUAGUCUUGGCAUUUUAUUCCUUGGUUGCAAUUCUUUAAUAUUCUUCUACAUCUCAUCUAGUGUGAUUUACAUUAUUUUUGCAAAAGCUGGAUUUGUACAUAAAUAUAAUAAUCAAAAUAAUGUUAUGGUGGCACUUACAACGAAUUCAUUUUUAUUUAUUGUAAAGCUUGGAAAAAAAUCUUUUUGGUUUUUAUUUAAUUUUUAAAUUGUUAAGUAGAAAGACUUGAAUCUAAUUGACAAUGUUUCCUAUUUUCAUGAAAUACUUGUGCCUUUCACUGUUCUUUCCCAACCAUGUCAAACAUAGCACUUUUAGAAGGCCUCACGCAGUACAGUACAAAGGUUCUGUGAGAAAAUUAUCUGGUCGCUUUUCUAAUUGCUGAGUAAAGCCUCUUGUAAAUGCUUUAGACAUAGAUGCACCUCUAACUGAAUGACAUCUGAACUGAGAGGUGUCAAUUCCUGCUGUUUUCAUAGCCAGGAGAAUCCCGUCUCUAAUUGUAUUUACUUUGGCUGCGAGAAAAGGUUUACUCAAUGUAAUAAAUAGCUAAGUAAUAUGACUUCUAAACUGAGAUGGAAUUCUAAUUUAUUUGGAUAGAACACAGACUAGACAUAAGUAACACAGAGUAAUGGAAGCCCUAAACCUCUUUUGAAGUAAUACUUUGAAGUAUUUGAAAACAGUUCACACCAAACUAGUACAAAACUCAAAAUUAAGGUGAGCAGUUGCACUUAAAGGACCACUCCCCACACAUAAAGCACUUUAGCUAGCUGGAGUAUCCCAUAAUAAUGACAGUUUAUAAAAGUAUUGAUUUCUAUUAGAAAUCAGCUCUGUUAUAAUUAAUUAAGGAACUCCCCUCUCCCCCCCCCCAGGUUGUCAAUCAAAAAGUCAGGGGGCUUCUUCCUGUUUCUGUCAUCUUCCCUGAGCUAACGGAAGUGGCUGGCAUACUCUACUUGAGCAAGUCUGCCUCUCCUUUUGCAUACUUCUGACCAGCAUCCAGUAUGCUGGUUGUGCGCAUGUGUGCACACGCCGAUGCAUGUGUACACAGGAGGAGCGUGCAUACACGGAGGUAGCCCUUCAGAGCUCUCUAAAUGAGAAGCCUCUGAUUGGCUAUCUCUCCGUGUAGAGACUAAAACCUCUCCCAGAGAAAAAAAGAAGAGGGCUUGCAAAGUUUUACACACUGAUUUAUGAUAUACCCCCAAUAAAUACAUGCAAGAAAAUAUCUACUAAAAAGUGAUUUAGAUUUUUUUCCCCCAAUAUGGACAAUGGAGUGUUCCAUUAAAAAGAGAAGUCCAAUGACAAACUACUCAGAAAUUCUACCAGGAACUUAAAAUUAAUAAAUCAAAAUAUGGGUGAAAAGAAAACCAUAAUUAUAGCUGAAAUGAAGUUUACAACCACUCUUCUUUAUUAGAAAAAUAUUAAAAAUAGCAAGGGGAUAGUGUGUUUCAUUUCGUACAUUAAUUGUUUUUAUUUAUAUGCACUCCCCUGUCUCUCACAUUGCUUCUUACAUGCAUUAAAAGCACACUUACAUUAGUGAGUUAAACUUAGACCUUUUAAAAUACAUGUUCCAUUUUAAAUGCAAAGAAAGAUUUCCUUAGGUAUCAAACAACAGUAUUAUACUAAAUUCCCUGUUAUGACAGUUGGGAAUGUUUGGAAUGGAUUAUAUGGGCCGUGAUUUACUAUUUUUGAUUAAGCUAUUCAAAUGAUUUAGUAUUUUUGAAUAAACUUUUGAAAUUACUUAAUAUUUUUACAAAAAUAUUUUGUAAUAUUUUGAUAUUUUUUAAAUAUCUUGAAAAAUGAUAUAAUAAUAAUUUUAACAAUCCAUCCAAAAAUAUUAAUGGCUGUGCUGCCAUUGGCUGUCUGGUGCCAGCAUGCUGUGCGUGUUGGUGUUAAAUGCCAAUGCACACAAUUGAUGUUAUUAUGCCUGUAACUCAAAGCUAGUUAAUUUCUUGUUCCAAGCUGGCUAAAGGCUCCCAGUGAUACUUCCAUAGAUGGAGUUAAUCUCCAUAUGUGCUGCAUGUCUGACUGAAAUGCUACACCUGCACACUCCAGACAUCACAACCACUUCAAAUCACUGAAGUGUUGAUUGUGCUUGGGGUAACCCUUUAAAGGCUUAUUCUUUUAAAAUUAUUUAAUAAUUAAAAAAAAAGUUUCCCCUACUCAAAUGUAACUUCUCUUAUUAGAAAGAGUGGUGAAGUAAAACCCACCAAUCACAUUCUAAUCUAGAUAAAAUAAAAUAAAUUACAUAACUGGAGCACAUAUACGGACAGUUCUAACUUGCAGAGUAAUAAGGCAUUGCAGUUAUCAGGAAUUCCAGUGUCAAUGGUGUACUUAUCUGCAAUCCAGCGAUUAAGGAAUACUCAAUAAAAACAAAUAGCCCAAGCACACAAGAUGUGCUAUAAGAUGUGAAUAUACAACUUCUCACCUCUGCAGUUAAUUUUCUCGAGCUAAUAAAUCCACUUAGUAGCUAAAGAAGCUGGAAUCACUAUAGGCAGAGACGUUGAUACCUGCCUGAGAGAGGAACUGAAGAGGCAGAGGGGAUGAUACCUGCCUGGAAGAAGGUAGCUGCAGCCUGGCCCAAGGUGGAAGAGACCCACGUCAGACUCCAGAGUCCCUGAUAGCGGUGAGGAGGAGGUACUCGGUUGGAGUACAGGAGCUCCAUCACAGUCCUCCUGGGGAUACAUUUCUUUAUGCAAUAGUAGCUUUUCUUUUUUGUUCUCAGGUAGACUAGUAAAUUCCCAGCGACUCAUAUUUGUAUUUUUUGAUUUCUUGUACAAAAUGUUUAUCAUCAAAUGUAUAUUCGUACAUUUUACUAUGUUUUAUUUUUAAUUUAUGCAUGGGACUGACUAUUACUGCAUCAUUGUAUGCAGACAUUUUACAUUGGUCUUUAAAAUACUUCACUCAAAUACAAUUCCAGGAAAAGUUAUCUGCUUUAAGAGCUUACAAUCUAAAGCAAGGCAUGUAAAAAUGUAUACUGAUGGCUGAUGUCAUACAUAAUUAGACAUUGCUGAGCAUUCCAUUUCAGAGCACAUAAUUACAGGGAUCAUGCUGGCUUUUGCAGCGAUAUUAUAACAACAAAUACAGAGAUUUACUUAGUGAAGGAUUCAAACUUAUAAUAUUACUGUCAAAGUGAACGAAACAAAGAAAUGGUAGAUUGCCAUGCAAGGAGGAAACCCUUAUGAUUCACAAAUGAUUAUCUGGCAGGAGAGGUCUCUGAGCCUCAUGCCCAGUCAUGUAGAACAUGGUUUAGAACAUGUGUAUGUGUGGUAUAUUAGCUCACACAAGGAGGGAUUGUUACAAACAUUUAGUAUUAGGUAAUGGGAAAAAGAACGAAGUCUCUACGCUACAUACAGUUCUCAUAUGCACACCUUUUAUGUGUCCUUUCUUAUUCAUUUUCCUUAUUUAUUCAAAAUGUUAUAGCAUUGCUGGCAUUAUUCAUAAAAUAAUCAUCACAGAUAGCAAGUGGCAACAAUAAGGUCACUAGGGAUCAUUGCAUAAGCUUGCAUUUAAUUGAAGCUCUAAUCCAGUAAUGAUUUUGUGGUUAUCACCCCUGCCUAAUAGUAUAUGAUAGGCACAUGCCAGCAGGCAUCUCUGUAGUUUAAUAAUGAAUUACUUCCACAUUUCAAAUAUCCAGCGUAAUCUGGAAAAGAAUCACAAACCCUGUCUGUUAUUUCUGCGUCCUGCUUUAUCCUUGUUCGUAUUAUUAAGAAACAGAUCGGGUUGCAAGCCGAUGAAACAGGCAGUCCCAGUUUACAGUGGGUUUGGACUAAAUGCAUUAGUUUGCAAUGGCUUUUAGGAAGACUAAUAAGGUGCCAAAAUGAACACGAUUCAGUUCUGCCAAGUGGAUCUACUUAAAAGGAACUUUGUAGCUAUGAUUUACAAUAUUAAUGAGCAGCUGAAUCUCAAGGUCAACAAGUGUGUCCUUAAAAUAGACCUCUCACUAUCUGUAACUGCAUCAUCACUCCAGAAGCAUACAUAUCCAGUUCUGAAUAUAAACGGACAUUGCAGCUAAAUUUCAAGCAUUAAUGACAACCAUAGCUUCACGUGCAGAGUGCCUAUUAAUAUGUUAAUGUAUGUCUCUGUUUACCCGCUCAGAUCAUAUAAUGUUUAAACUACUUUGUAGAAGUAAAAAAAAGCAACAAACAAAAAAAAAACAAAACAAAAAAAACCCCCACAGAUCUCAGUUUCUCUGUCUGAGUCUCCAUUUUUUAUUACUUAAUGUUGCUUUGCAAAAAUAACACAAUUUAUUACAGUCAUGAAAAAACUUCCUCCAUAUAUCUUUUUAGAAUGUUAUAUAUAUAUAUAUUUGUUUUGAAAGCUUAUAUUUUUAGCGCCCUUAUCCUCUCUCACAAACUAUAUAAAGGACAUUUUUAACACUUUAAAUAUCAAAUGAUUGCGGAGUCUAUCACACCUUGAACGUUUUACAGAAGUCCGAAGGUAUAAACUUUUGAAGGUAUUCGACGUUAUGUAAUCUUACAGUUACUUGGAUUAUAAUUUUAUUGUAAAAGACCAAACCAAAAAGUGUUAAAGCGCACACAGUGAUUGUAUUUUUUUUAAAAAACAAUGAAGAGGGUCUUGUAACAUACAUUCAGGUAGAAGGACCUAAAUAAUGUAAAUAUAAAACAGAAAAACCAUAGUGCAAUAUGUAUAUACAAAAUACAGAAUAUAUAUAAAUAACAGAAGAUGAUUAAAAAAUAGCACACUCAAAAUUUCCAGAGCCCUUAAAGAAUGGGUCUGAACGCUAUAGGCACUUUAUUCACCAUUGGGAUUGUAAUGAGAUCUUUUGCUGGAACAAGGAGGUACCCAGAAGGGACAGGAAUCAGAUGAUCAAUGUUAAAAUCACUUUAUUCCAUGUACAGAUAAAAGUAAGCUGAAACAGCAGCACAAUGCGUUUCGACCUACAUGCAGGUCUUCCUCGGGUACAGUCUAAUGUGACAAUGACCUCCUGUCUGUUUAUACACCUUACAAACAAAGUAAAAAUAUAUGCAGAUGUGUUACUUACUAAUUAAGCCUAAUAUGGGCCAAACCGGAAAUACAUCGCCACACUCAAGAUGGCGACGCAUCCGGUUUCUGGCUGUGAGAAAAUGCGUGACAUAUUUCUGAUGUCUGGGCAGGUGCCUCUGAGCAACAGAACGCAGUACACAUGUUCAAUGCUUUGUUGAAACUGUGCAGAGAGGUGGGAAGUUGUUGGUUAUCAAGCUACAGACAAUAUUGCUUUCACAAAAGCAAGGUACAGCUGGUGUAAGCUGUGCGAGUACCAUUCAACUUUAUGGCUCUGGCAUCAGGUGUAAACUGCUCUUCUACCAGUUCUAAAUCCACCACUCAAGACUAGCCAUGUGUCUCUGUACAAUCAGUCUGCAUUCAAUGAGUGUCACAACACUACAAAGAAGACAGCCUACUGCUUUUGUGCUUGUGUUGCUUGCUGAGGUGGAAGGGUAAUAAACCCCAGUAGACCCACCUGGACUCCCAUAGAAUACUCCCGGCACAGUGGUGUUCUCUGCCAAAAAGUAAAAAUGAAAGAAGAAUUCUGCCUUUCAAUGUGGCAAUUUAAAGAAUGCUUCCAAGUAAACCAAGAGAUGUGCACAGGAUAUCCAUGAACAAUUUUACUAACAUGGAACAAAAUCCAGGAAUCCUGAUUAAGAUAUUGUAAAACAGAUUGCUCUAUUCAAAGCAAAAAGAUGCUUCCACAUAGUAUUAAUUAAAUGGCAUGCUUACUCACGUUUUCUAAAAGAUUGACAGUUUCCAAGAAAAGGUCAAUUUGUCAUUCUGUCUAAUUGCAUUUCCCUCUCUGACUACAAGAAUCCUUAGCCUUUGUACCAUUUUGAUUUUCCCACUACAACUGCUAAUUUUGUAACUUGUUUUUCAGUGGUUUACAGACAAUUGAAAGAGUUACAGCAUCAAAGAAUUGCAUUUUUAUUUUCUACACCAUUCCCUUCACAUGCCUGGUUUAGAAAUAUGGCAGUGUUGUUUGUCCCAUGUGCACUCUAAUGUGAUUUAUAGGCAAACUAAGUAGCUAACAUGCUUUCAUGUCAAGCAAUCAGAUUGAAUAGUAAAUAUUUAAGCAUCCUUAGGGUGCUCCUAAUGCUAUACAUCAGGAUACAAGCAACAGUUAUUUCCUUAAGUGCUCUCCUAUAUUUAAUAUGUUGUUCAUGAGUAAAGUUGAAUCUCUUUAUCAUUUAUGAAGUUAAGGUAAUUGUGUUAGCAGGAGCAUUUAUCAGUAAAAGUCAAUUUUAAAAAAAAGUUCUGAUGUCAAACAUUGGUCGAAAGCAAUAUAUUUGUGGAUCUCCUUCAUAGUUAUACUUCAAUAGAUAUAUUCAUUGAGUUUAUUUUGCUUUAUGUUGAUUUUUCUCAUAUAAAGAAGUGUAUUUCUUCAUUAAUUAAUCUGCAGGAUAAAAUGGGCUAUUGGGGCACAGAGUACCAAAGCCGACUCCAACUUUCAAAUUAUAGAAUAAAAAUAAUGAAAAAUGAAUAAUAUAUUCCUCUCGUGCUGUAGGUGUGUCAGGAUUGUGACAGGGAUCCAACACGAAGAAUACAAACAGGAGAUAGGUACGUAUACCGGACCUUAGAAUGGCCGGACUAACGUAAGGAGAAAGCAAAGAAUGGUCAGAGACAAGCCGAGGUCGAGGGAACGAGAGAGUAGGUAAGCGAGAGACAAGCCGAGUCAAAAGGACAAGAGAGGAAAGCAGGGUCAAAAAUACAAGCCGAGUCAGGAACCAAAAGACAAUAGAGGUAAGAGCACUGAGUGACCAGACUAGCUAGAACCACGACAGGGCAAUGAAUCAUUCCACAAAACCCUCUUUUAUACCUUGGCUCUUUAACUGUUGGCCCCGCCCCCAACGAGUCCUGAUUCGUUGUUCGGCACUUGGUUGCCGUGAUUGACGGGUCGGAACGUGAUUGCCGUCAUGACGUCGGCUACUGAGCGCCGCGUCAUAAAAGGAGGCGGAGCUAUCGCGGCCGGCGUGUAAACGGCCGGGAGGACUGCGAGGAUCGGGUGAGUCAGCCCCCGUAGGAGGAUGGACGUCUAGGUGUCUAACCUCCUCCGAGGUAGACACCAGAGGUAACCUGACAAGGUGUUGCUGCAGUGAGCUGUACCCCAACCAAGAAUCAUGAAAAAACAUGAAUGAAACUACUGCCCAAGCUGGAAGACACAGCCAGCAUCUAUCAAUUUCAGGAUGGUUUAAGUCCAGAACCAAUUGCUAGGCAGGCGUCUUCUGCACAAUAGAUAUAACAAAUCAAGACAACCAUUUUACCUUUUUUUACCCCCACAAUUAGCAAGUGUCUUAUUCUGGAUUAGCCUUUGUACAUGAAAAUAUUAAACCUCUAUUCGUACUAGUUUUGCACAUUUGUAUUCUGUACUAUAUGACUGAC